CUAUAUAACUGGAGCUAGCAAAGAGCAGUUGGAGAAAUCACCAUUCCUUGAGAGGCUAACAAAGAAAAAUUAUGAGGUAUGAGUCUUUCUUAAGAUAGAAAGGGAAGAUUGGAAUGCUGCAUAACAAAAUAACUAGUGGUUUUUUUAUUUUGACGAAAAGUAUUAGUCAUCGUUUCUUGCAUUGUGGGUUUGACUAUGUUCCUUGUCUUUGAUAUUUGAAUUCUCUUAUGAAUGCAUUUGUCAUGUCUUCUCUAAAGAUUCAUUUGCUAUGUUUGCCAUGUUUCAUUGUUUAGGUGAUUUUCUUCACGGACCCCGUAGAUGAAUACCUGAUGCAGUACCUUAUGGACUAUGAAGACAAUAAGUUCCAAAAUGUGUCCAAAGAGGGCCUGAAACUGGGCAAGGAUUCAAAAGCCAAAGAGCUCAAGGAGUCAUUUAAGGAGCUAACCAAAUGGUGGAAGGGUGCUCUUGCUAGUGACAAUGUAGACGAUGUCAAGAUUAGUAACCGUUUGGCCGACACCCCUUGUGUAGUUGUGACAUCGAAAUAUGGUUGGAGUGCCAAUAUGGAAAGAAUCAUGCAGUCACAAACUCUGUCAGAUGCAAACAAGCAGGCGUAUAUGCGGGGGAAAAGGGUGCUUGAGAUCAACCCUAGGCACCCAAUUAUCAAGGAGCUUCGGGAUAGAGUAAUCAAGGACCCUGAGGUACACUUGAUUUUAUCUCUACACAUGUGAUCAAACGAUAAAUGUUAUAGAAAUGGCUAACUGUUACUAAUUUCAUUAACUUGGUUCACAGGAUGAGAGCGUGAAGCAAACGGCUCAGUUAAUGUACCAAACAGCAUUACUGGAGAGUGGUUUCCUGCUCAAUGACCCAAAGGAUUUUGCCUCCCGCAUCUACAGCUCAGUUAAGAGCAGUUUAAAUGUCAGCCCUGAUGCAACAGUUGAGGAAGAAGAGGAUAUUGAGGAACCUGAAGCUGAAACUGAUGACAAAGAAGCUGCUGCCAAAGAUGAUUAUGAUGCCAAGGACGAAUUAUAGAUUAGUCCAGAAGAAUGUCCUUUCUCUAGAGAAAACUACGUAGCAGUCACAUGCUAUAAUCGGAGUGCAUGUGGAUAAUUAGGUUUCAGAUUUUUUAUCCUAGGUUAAUGUUACAAGUUAUCAGGAUUUUGUCUGUUUCAAUUUCACAGAUUUUUGUAUGAGAACGUUGCUGAGUUUUCUGCAACAUAAUGUAAUCUGCGAUCCUCUUUUCCUUUUUACCUCCAGCUGCUAUCCUCAUAGAUGCCCUUGCCAAGUACACCAAUCUCAAGAUGCACCAUCUAAUUUCUAGCCUAGUCCACGGAGGAGCUCUUUGUUGGUUUUAAGCUUUGAAUGCUACCUAAAAUCAAAAGUAUUGCAGGUCUACUGAAAGUUUCAUAUAGCCUGUUUGACCAAGCUUCUUUUGAGGCAAAAUCGUCUUUUCUUUGGUCAAAAGUGUUUUUUUCUAAAAUUAAGUUGUUUGGCCCAGCUUUUGAAAGGAAAAAAAAAAAGCUUUUGAAGAGAAACAGAAGCAGAAAAGUGUAGUUUCUGUCCAAAAGUAAAAAAUACUUUUGAGAAAAAUACACUUAGAAACAAUUUUUUAAAACUUGGCCAAACACUAAUUGCUGCACAGAAGUACUUUUUAAAUUAUUUAGCCAAACACAUUGUUUCUAACUAAAAGUACUUUUGAGAAAAAGUAUUUCUCAAAAUAAAUUGCCGACACCAAGCACCCCGGCAACUCAAGUAACCACAAAAUGAGAUAGAGGGAGCAAUAAAUAAGGGAUCAGGGCUUUUCCCAUUCACAGCUAAUAUCAACCUCAUCCCAAUUAAGGGGAAUAAACACAAUCACAUCAAUAUUUCAGUCUCAUCCCAAAUAAGGGGAAUAAUCACAAUCACAUCAAUAUUUCAGUCUCAUCCCAAAUAAGGGGAGUAAUCAAAAUUCACCCCUACACCGGAACGUGUUUGCAGCUUGGCCAAAUGGGCUAAUAGUGUACUAGUAUGUGUUUUUGAAUCCCAUGUAAUCGUCACUGAAUUUUAUCUCAAAAUGCCCGACCAAAGUUAGGGAGAAAUUCAAAAAUAGCCAGAUUUUCAAGUGGUCAUUCAAAAAUAGUCACAGUUUCAAAAGUAAUCGAAAUUUAGCCACUUUUCAUGUAAAAAUAAAUUUGAAUGAAAAUACUAUUCAAAAUUCGGAAAAUACUCCAGCAUAAUAUACUGGAAUUCCAGCACAAGUAUACUGGACUUCCAGUAUAAUAUACCNNNNNNNNNNNNNNNNNNNNNNNNNUUUGCAAACGCUGACUAUUUUUGAAUGACCAGUCCGAAAACUGGCUACCCGUGCUAUUUUUACCCAAAGUUAAUGUAUGUUUAACCUUAUGCGAUGCAAGAUGAUUCGCAAUAGGGCAAUGCAAUAUCAAGGAGAAAUCUUUUUUUGCAUGAAUAUAGGUUACUAUGAGAUUUUUCAAGUCUGCAAGAGGGGUUAACUUCGGAAAUAGUCAAUCCAGACGUACCUUGUUGUAUAGCACCUUACUCAUUUUGUCCCUAUGAGGGACAAUAAUAGUGAAAAACAUAAAGAAAUUUCAGCAAGAUCAACAAUGAAAUAGGGAAUUUAUUAGUAUAUUCAUAUACACAGUUACAUAUAAAAAAAAUUUAAAUGACUUGAUUGUAUUCUACACUUUAAAUGAAUAAAACGAACUUUUUUUUUACAAAUGUACCGGAUAUGGAAAAGAUGCAUUUUUAUAUAACACUUACUUCUUGACAAGAGAGGGUUGCUGAAUUGGUAAGCACUCUUCAUUAGGGGUGGGUAUAAGCCGGUUCAAUUCGGUUCGGUUUUGAACGUUAUCAGUUAGUAAAUCAGUUAUCAAUUUAUGAAUAUGCUAAACCGAUAAUCGAACUAAUUUAUCGGAUAUCCAUUAAUCGGUUAUCGAUCGUCAACUGUUUGAUUAUCGGUUUACCCGAUAAGACAAAUUAAUGACUGAUGAUUAAUGAGUCUUUUGUACAGGAGCUUCAUGAGCUUAGCAAAAUGAAUCGUAAUUAAUGCCUUAACAGAACCAAAAGUUGUUAGAAUUGUGACACAACAAUAGAUAAACUAGUUUAUCGCUUCUCGUCUAGGUUAUUGCUAUCACUGAGCACUUACAUGAUUGUAAUCUCUCAUUUACGCCAUAGAAAUUUAGAAGAAUAUCUCUUGUAUUGAUCACGUUCUAUUAAUAUUCUAGAUUAUCAGGUCAGAGUUUCGCUACGUGAUUCUAUAUGGGUCAAAAUUCUGACUUUAGAAUAUUUGAGCCAAGAUAGUACUAAGGGAAGGGUUCCCAAGUCAUCGUUUGUUGAAAUGGCCCAAGAAACAGCGAAUCCCGUGGUCGAAAAGUUAAUGAGAACCGUAGUCGAGGUGUCAACAAGGGUCAAGGCCGAGGUCGAGUACCGUUGACAGAGCUGUAACGGCUAGUUUUCAAGAUAGGAUUAAUAUUCUAGUGGAUAUUCUUUGCACUUGUACUAUUAGGGUUUCUUAGGAAUAUGUCCUGUAUAAAUAGAAGAGUUUCUUAGGAAUAUGUCCUAUAUAAAUAGAAAAAGACACAAUGAUAGGGGAUAUGUGAUACUCAUUUGUAAAAAUACACACUUUGACUUGAGAAAGAGAAUCAGAUCUCACUUGCUAAGAUACAAACAUCACCUUUUCACUAAAAUUCUUGUCAAUACUUUUCCACUAGAUAUGAGAAUAACUCAAAUAUUCAAGGGAUUGUCUAUCAUUCAUCAUUGUUAGAAAGAACAUCCCCUUAUUCCAUCCUUUCUUGAGUGAAUUAUUCCUUCUAUUUACUUAAAUGUCAUUUAUUGCUAUUCAUUAUUAUUGAAUGCUAUAUUAUUGCUUCUGAUUUUUAGAACAUUUAUUGUAUAUUACUGUUACUGCCCGACUAGAUCCAGGCAAUAUUUAUCGCUUCUUUAAGAACUCCAUCUAAGGAUAUAAUUAUUAGCUAAUAUUUGAACCAAGAUAUAUAUUUUUUGGUCAAACAAUUUGGAGCUGUAUGUGGGGAUUUCUUUGUUAAAUUUUUAGUUUCCUCUAGAUCUACAACUAAUAUAGGUCACUAACGUCAAAAAACCCAAGAUCUCAUUUUUGUGUGUAUAUACAAUACCGUACAUGGCAGGUAACCAAGGAGAAAGGGAGAGAAUAACAAGUGACUUCCCAACUAACCUCAUGAAUGUCAUCAACUAAAGCUGUGAAACGGCAGGUGAGGACACGAUGCCCAGUGCGUCCCCUAGGCGAGAGGGAUCAUCGCCCCCACACUGCAGCAUAACGAAACCCCGUGGUAAAACUCCUCGAGGCGUGGCUAACCGACACACUAACAAGCGUCCUCAACAAACUCGCUCCAGGCAUGAUUCAGAAACCACAAGGACUUGCACGAUACAACAAACAUACGAGCAGUGCAACCAACCCCUCUCUCCAACGACAGGUACAACUCACAAUGUUAGUGCAGGUGACAAGGCCAUCACUGUCAUUUUAAAAAGGAUGGAAGAAAAAUAGACUGAAAACAAGGCGCUCCGAAACCAAAUGAAAGAAUACCAAGAAUGGGCUGACAAGAUACCGGGCGCUCCUAAGUUGCUGCCGAAAAGGUAUGCCGGUAGGUUCAUCGAGCAGCCAUAUAGUGAUGAUGCAGUCCCGCAUGCCAUACCAAAAACCUUCAGAAUGACGCCCUACCUCAGGAUUUACAACGGCACGACCGGCCCUGAAGAUCAUGUGAGUCACUACGUCACCACCGUGAAAGGUAACGAUCUCGCCAAGGAACAAGUGUACUCCAUUUUGCUGAAGAGGUUUGGCAAAACUCUCACAUGAGGGGCAUUAACAUGGUAUUCGCAGCUACCAGCACGCUCCAUUGAAUCUUUUGAAAAAAUGGUCGACAAGUUCGUAACCGCCCAUGCCAAAGCCAAGAAGGCCGAGGCGAGAGUGAACGACAUAUUUGUUAUUAAUCAGUCCCUGGGAGAGGGACUUCCUCGCCCGGUUCAACAGAGUAAGGAUGACUCUGCCAAACAUAUCCGAAGGGAUGGCGGUCGCAGCUUUUCAGAACGGGUUGAAUCAAGAGGAAAAUUAUUGAGUCGAUUGCUGAAAUAUCCUCCAACCACUUGGGAUGAAAUCCACAAUGCUUAUUCUGCCGAGGUCCGAGCAAAUGAGGACGAUCUCAACGGACAACUCACUGGCUAACCUCAGUACAGGCCGAAUCUAGAAAAGAACGAAGAGACAGUACCAGAAGAGAUCACCCGAUUCCAUGACCUAACAGGGAACGACACCAACCAUAUGUCAGGGCGGCCGCCGCACCCUCCCUUCGUUAUGAAGAAGGCCCGUCCAGACCAAGGACAGGGACCCAUCAGAACGAAAGAGGUAUGCCUCCUUUAUUAUCCGCUCACAAUUUUUGUGUAUCGCCUACAGAAAUAGUCUACGCCCUAGAGAAACUCGGAACAUAAGUGAAGUGGCCGCCAAAGAUGAGAUCAGACCCGAACACCAGAAAGUCUGAUGCCCUCUGUGAGUUCCACCAGGAACGCGGGCACAAAAUAGAAGAUUGCAUCGCCCUCAGAUAGGAAGUCGUAAACAUGUUACGGCAAGGGCACCUCAAAGAACUAUUAAGUGACAAAGGGAGGACCAACUUCACCAGAGGACGUGAACAUCGUGGACCGCCAAAGCCGCCAUCCCCAGCUCGUACCAUCAACGGUGGCGGCGAUGAUGCCUUUGUCAACGGCGUGAAGUUCACCACCACUUACAAACUCAAGCGGUCGAUCACCCGCGAAAGGUAUGACAGACUCGAAGAGAGUAUUAUCUUCGACGAGUUAGAUGCCAAUGGUUUGACUUUCCCUCAUAAUGAUGCCAUUGUUAUUACUUUAUGCAUUUUAUAUACCGAUAUCAAACAUAUCAUGGUGGACGAUGGAAGCGGUGCAUGCAUUAUCCAUCCCCGAGUCCUUACCCAAAUGAAGCUCGAGGAUAAGAUAGUGUCGUGAUGCAUCACACUAACUGGUUUUAAUAAUGCAAUUGAGCGAACAUCCGAGGAAAUUACACUCCCCGUCUUGGCCGGCGGCAUAACUCUAGAGAUAACAUUCCACAUCAUGGACCAAGCCACCGCGUACAAUGCCAUAGUGGGUCGGCCAUAGAUAUAUCCCAUGAGAGUCGUCCCCUCCAGCCUAUACCAAGUGAUUAAAUUCCUAACACCAUGGGGGAUAUUCAACAUACGUGGGUAACAACGCACAUCCCGGGAAUGCUACUGCAUUGCCUUAGACAACAUGACCACCCAACAGAGAAAAGACAAAGAAAAAAAGGCAUAGCAAUCAACAGGGUCGAGGUCGGAGCAAGAUGAGAUAUAUGACAUCAUCAAGAUCCCGACAUGGUCGAAGCCGCAGGAUUGACCAUAGAAGACCUCGACCCCAUUCAAUUGGACGUCAACGAUCAUAGCAAGAAGGCCUAUAUCGGCUGCAAACUUUGGAACCGUGUAAAUUCCGUCAAUUCUUAACAGUUAACGUUUUGUUUGCUUUCAGCCAUGCAGAUAUGUCGGCUAUCCCAAAGGAAAUCGCCAGGCAAAAAUUAAACGUCGACCCAUUCUACCUCUAGUGAGACAUGUCGGGCAUAAAUUCAACCUCGCUAUCAAUGACACAGUCCGCGAGAAGGUGGAAAAAGUGUUAGAAAAUGGUUCUAUCAGGGAGUCGAAGUACCCCGAGUGGGUCGCCAACGCAGUGAUGGUCAAAAGAAAAAUGGGAAAUGGCGAAUGUGCGUGGGUUUCACAGAUUUGAACAAAGCAUGUCCGAAGGAUUCAUUCCCAUUACCUUAUAUCAACCAACUCAUCGAUGCAACGGCCGGCAUGAGCUACUAAGUUUCUUGGACGCUUAUUCAGGAUAUAAUCAGAUCCUCAUUGAAAAAGAAGAUCAGGAAAAGACCAUGUUCAUCAUGCACCAAGGAACGUAUUGCUACAGGGUCAUGCCAUUUAGACUAAAAAACACAGAGGCUACUUAUCAAAGGUUGGUAACAAAGAUGUUCAAAGACCAGCUCGGAAAAACAAUAAAGGUAUAUAUAGACGACAUGUUGGUCAAGUCCAAAAGGGUAGAAGAUCACAUCGAUCAUUUGAAAGAAACUUUUGACAUACUCAAACGGUAUGGAAUGAAGCUGAACUCGGAGAAAUGCGCGUUCGGUGUAGCCUCAAGAAAGUUCUUGGGUUUUCUGGUAUCGCAUAGAGGGAUUGAGAUCAACCUAGACCAAAUCAAAGCCAUUGAAGGGAUACCAGAACUCUUGACCACAAAAAAUAAGUCCAAAGGUUGAUUGGUUGUAUCGCCGCCCUAUCAAGGUUCAUCUCCCGGUUGUCGGAUAGGUGCCAUAAAUUCUUUGGCAUACUCAAGAAAGACAACGGCCUCGAAUGGACUUCCGAGUGUGUCCAGGCUCUGCGAGAACUAAAGGCAUACCUGUCAUUACCACUAUUGCUUUUGAAACCUGAACCUGGAGAGCAGCUCGUCAUCUAUCUAGAUGUAUCUGAGGUAGUAGUAAGCGCAGUCUUAAUCCACAAAAACAAAGGUACACAAUCUCCCAUCUAUUACAUUAGCAAAAUAAUCGUCGACGCCGAGACGAGGUACCUACGCCUUAAAAAAUUGGCUAUGGCCUUGGUCGUAACUUCACGAAAGCUUAGACCAUAUUUCCAAUGUCACCCCAUCUCGGUCAUCACAACUUCCCCCCAUGAGGAGCAUUUUGCAUAAACACAAGCUAUCGGGAAGGCUAGCCAAAUGGGCUAUCGAGCUAAGUAAGCACGAUAUCAUAUACCAGCCGCGAACGACGAUAAAGUCACAAGUGCUCGCUGACUUCGUCGCCGACUUCAGCGCAAAAAUAAUGCCUGAAGUUGUCCAAACUUCCCUCCAAACACAAUACCUCUAGGUCCUAUACACCGACGGUGUAUCCAACACGUCAGGGUCCAGAUUGGGACUCAUACUCGAGGUCCCAACAUGCGAAGUGAUUUGCCAGUUCAUAAGGUGCCCGGAUAUGACUAACAAUGAUGCCGAGUAUGAGGCCAUAAUCCCAGGUUUAAGGCUAGCACUCAAAUAUGGAGCGAAACGGUUGAAACUGCGUUGUGAUUCCCAGCUCUUAGUCAACCAAGUCACAUGGACUUUCCAAAUCAAGGAACAAAGAUCGCAACAAUACCAGACCAAAAUCUGCAAGCUACUACCUGAGUUCAACGAAUGUCAGCUCGAUCAAAUCCCACGAGCACAGAAUGCCAAGGCAGAUUGCCUCGCCAAAUUAGCCGCAGCUUCCAAAAAAAUCAUGACCGGAGAUAAAAGCGUAGUUCACCUCCUCAACUCAUCACUGAACCAAGUCGAGGUAAGAACCAUAAACUUAACUUGGGAUUUGCGCAAUUGUGUUGUCGCAUACUUGCAGGAUGGCACACUCUCUGUCGACAAAAAAGAGGCCAAGAAACUAAGAAUGCAAGUGGCCAGAUACAGUAUCCUCUACAACGAUCUGUACAAAAGGACCUACGGCGGCCCUCUGGCGAAGUGCUUGGGCCCCAACCAAACUCAGUGCGUCCUCGAAGAAGUCCACGAAGGCCAUUGUUGGGCUCACUUCGGUAAUCGGGCAUUGGUCAGAUGCCUCAUACGGGCAGGAUAUUAUUGGCCCACAAUGAAAAAGAUGUCAUAGACUUCAUGAGGAGAUACGAGCAGUGCCAAAAGUAUGCCCUAAUGAUUCACCAGGCAGGCGAACAUCUCCACUCAGUCACCUCCCAUUAGCCGUUCAUCAAAUGAGGAAUGGACAUCGUGACCCCCCCUCCAAGUAGGGCAAGGUAAUGUAAGAUUCCUUUUGGUUUUAACUGACUAUUUCUCUAAGUGGGUGGAAGCAGGAGCAUUCGCCCAAAUACGGGAACAUGAGGUAAUCACCUUUAUAUGGAGAAAAAUCAUCUGCCGGUUUGGCCUUCCUAAAGAAAUCAGCUGUGACAAUGGACCAGUUCACUGGAAAGAAAAUUGUCGAAUUCUUCGAGAAAUGACAUAUCAAGAGGAUACUCUCGACCCCAUAUCACCCCACGAUUAACGGGCAAGUAGAGUCCUCCAAUAAGUCAAUACUAAACAUCAUGAAGAAGAAGCUCGAAGACGCUAAGGGACUGUGGUCGGAAAUACUACCAGAAGUAUUAUGGGCCUACCGAACAACUCCAAAAACAAGCACAAGAGAGACGCCAUACUCUCUGGUCUACGGGACCGAGGUAGUAAUACUAGUCGAGGUCGGAGAACCCAACCUAAGGUACUCCCAGGAGAGUGGCAUGAGUAACAACGGGAGUAGAAGGCAGGAACUCGGGGAAGUCGACGAACGAAGAGAUAUGGCCUACAUAAGAAUGGUCGCCCAACAACAACAAGCAGAACGCUAUUACAAUAAGAAAGCAAAGGUUAGGCCACUCAAAGUCGGGGACUACUUACUAAAAUCUAAAACUCAAGUGAGCAAAGAUCCUAGGGAGGGCAAGCUGGGAACAAAUUGGGAUGGUCCGUAUAAAAUCACAGCCGAAGCAAACAAGGGUUUAUUCCAAUCAGAGACAAUGGAAGGAAAGCUACUACCAAACAAUUGGAAUAUCAGCCACCUCAAAUACUUCAACUUCUAAGAGAAAAAACGUCCCCCAAGUCGUACUUUUUUUCCCCUCACUUGAGUUUUGUCUAAUUUGGGUUUUCUCAAUGAGGUUUUUAACGAGGCUACGAAGGGAACGCUUCGAGUCGAAGUAUGCGAAAGUAACGUCGUGGUUACUAUUUCAUUGCUCUACCUCUCAAUACUCUCCAGAUCGACCAAUGAAGGGACUAGAUAGACUGGGACUGGGACUGGAACGUCAGCCAACACCCAAAAUUUGUAAAUUUCUCCAAGUAUGUAACCAAAGAAACAAUGUCAAAUCAAUAAACUUUACACUUACCAGCAUACCUUUUUCACAUUAAUGUUAUGUUCGAUUACGAUCGAACAAACAACCACCGUUCUUCGGCCGCAAUUUAAUAAAAGGUUAUGUUCGACCCCGCUCGAACAAACAUCUACCGGCCCUCGAUUACAAUUUAAUGAAAGGUUAUGUUCGACUCCGCUCGAACAAAUACCUACCGACCCUCGACUGCGAUAUAACGAAAGGUUAUGUUCGACCUCCUUCGAACAAACACCUAUCGGCCAUCAACCAUAUCCCAACAAAUAAACAAAAAUAUACACAAGUAUAGAAAAUAAACCACAUGAAAGGAAGAAAAUGCAAGGAACAACUUUGAUAUUUCACAUACUUAAAAUUGUUUACAAUAGGCUCUUGAAGACGAUGCCAAAAAAUAUACAAAAAAAAACAAAAGAGAAGACUCCUGGCCACCACCAUCACGACCUUCAACAUCCUCGCCGACUUCUCCUUCAACAACGUCGCCACCCUGACAAUUAAUACCCUCGCUAUCGCCUCCUUCGCCCUCAGGAUAUGCAGCGUCAUACCAGGCAUUCUCCUCGAGCCGGUCUAUACCCUUAUCCACCUCGUCCUCACCAACCUCAGGCAUAACGGGAUCCUACCCAUAAGUGACUUGAGCUCCAUGAGAUUUAACACGAACAUCUUGGAGGGCAGCCUCAGAAACGGAUCCUGCUGCAUGUAAAUCUCAAAAGACAUCUAACUAGGCCUCGGCAUGAAUCCACUCCUCAUAACUCUCCCGAGGAACAUUAGGAAAAUCUGAAGUACAAGAAGAGGACGGUUGCGCCAGUAAUCGGGCCUUCUCGGCCUCAAGAGCAAUAACUCGAUCGUAGAGGCCAGAAGUCUCUUUCUCCAACUCUCAAAUCCUCUCAUCAAGCCGCUGUUCUUUAAGCUUUGCCGUUUCUUAGCCAUUUUCUUGCUCAAAACAGAGAGUCUAGAUCACCACCUCAAGAGACUCUGCCUUCCUCAAAGCCUCCGACCGAGUGGAGUCUGCCUUCUCUAAAUGCUCUGCCUUCUCGGCGACCUCGCCACUUAGAGCCUCCGCCCUGAAUUGACACUCCUCAAGAUGGGCACGCAGCACAACCACCUGAGCUUAGAGAUCGCUGUACUGGGCUUCGACCCCCUUGUUGAGCUCAAGCUCUUCCUUUUUUCUCCUCAACAUCCCCUCCAGGACGCUGCACUUCCCCACCAUCCACACCAGCUCCUCAUCCCUGGCCUUCAAGUCCCACCUCAGUCGACGCACAUUGCCGCCCCCACUAAGCUGACACCGAAGCUCCCGGUACUUCUCAAGGACUCUGAAGUACUAGUCCUUCAACUUUACAUAGAUAUCUUUACGCCUCUACUCCCUACGAGCACUCUCAAUUUCUAAGACGACCGUCUGCAAAAUGAACAAAAGCAGUUAGAGACUGUGAAAGAACAAAACCAAAGGAAAAACAACUAACAUCGAAUAUACUUACCCGAAGGGCGAGGCCGGCAAUGUUAUUUGACAGGUCAUUGUCAUUCAUAUCCUUGAGGGUCGUACCCUCAACUUCAGAACUGAGAGGGACAAAGGAAAGGAUAAUCUACUUGGUAUUCACGAGAAGAUUACGGUCCAUCGAGAUCGUAGUAGUCCUCGAACCCCCCUCCAACCUCACUUCAAUCUGCGUAAGCCCCUCGUCGAUCAUCCUCAGCUUAUCUGCAUCCAUGUAUGAAUCAGAUCCAACAUCCUCAUCAUCAACAACCUUACUUCUAUCAUCAGUCGAAGGAGGUACGUCUGACGAGCGCAAAAUAUAACACAAAAUUGAUGGUCGUUAAUCAAAGAUAGUAUAGUAUAAUAUCGUCUUCAUAGGGAUUGAAUUUAAAUAAUAUUUAAGUAAAUUAUGGUUUAAUUGUUAUUCAGGAGGAUCAACACUUGAGUUAAAUGAUUAUAAACUAAGUUUAACUACUAAAAUAAAGUAAUUAACAAUAAAGAAUUGGGAGAUUCGUAGAGUUGGGUUCUUAUAAAUAUGAGGAAUAAAAGUUUUGACAUGAUAUGUGCAAGAUAACUAUUUGGGAUUUAACUCUAGUUUAAUUCACUCUAAUAUUUUAAUGAUUCUCACGAAUUCACUCGAUUAUUUGUUCGAACGUGUAGUGAAGACUCCUCUCUCGAUUAAAUCUUAACUCUACGAGGUGAACUAAUAUAAGCAUUGUGAAGUAUGCAAGCUAGCAUUAAUGGGUUGGUCCUUAGGAAAACGUCUCUCGUAUAUUCUCCUAACUUGAUUCAAUCAACAAUUCAACAAGCUCUUUCGAUUACUUAAGAGAAUCAAUGAAUUAAAUCAAACAAAAUAAUGCAAAGAUAAUCACCAAGAUAUUCCUCUUUCGAUUAAAUAAACUGAUGAAUAAAGUUGCAACAAUUAAAAACUCCAUAAACGAAUUCAAGCAUGAACUAGAGUUAAAAUCCACAAAUAUUUAUCAAAACUUCAUAUCCGUCAAAUCCUAAGGUAAACUACUCCAUAAUCAUGGAGGAAAUUAUCACAAUUAUAAUUAAAGAAUAAGAAAGCAUCAAUCUAACUUUACAAUCCAGACUCCCGUAUUGAAUUGAUGAAAAUAUGAUGAAAUCCCGUGUCUUGUAGCCUCCAAUGCUCUCCCAAAGGUUCAGAGGUCAAAAGUCCCUUUAAAAAUAUCUUUUUGGUGUAUUUAUACCCGGUGAAAUUACCUUUUCCAAGUCAAAACAGGACAAAUACUCUGAGAAAAUUACAUAGGUGUGUCGCGCGUUGCGCCAUCCCAUGCGGGGCGCUAGUGGGGAAAUUAAGAGAGCAAGUUCUUACGGGCAGUAGGAAAAUUACACUACAACGCGGCUCCAUGCACCGCCUCAUGUGGCACGACAGUGGAGGUUUUACAUAGUUACAAUUUUUCUUCGCGUUUUGACAUCCAGGCUCGGCUCCCGACCACCGAAUGCGAUCCCCGUUUAAUCCCUUGGCUUUUACUAGGACUUCAAAGCCCCAACUUGCUCAAUUUAGCUCCCGAUUAUUUUUUUAAACUCGAAAUCACUUCCUAACAAGGCAUAAAACAUAUAAUAUAAGUGUAAUACACUAAUAUUCAAGCUCAAACACAAGUAAAAUACAGUAAUUAGAGUGCAAACUAUGACUAAAAUGCACGAUUCUAGCUUACCAUCAACGUCUGCCGCAACAACGGAAGACGAGGCCUCUUUGUGUCUUGGAAGAACAGGGUUGUCACGACCCAUCACACCUUCGACCGCAACCCCCUCAGGUUGUACAUCCGUAUCCUCCAAGAAAAUGGUCUUGGGACUAGCCUCUGGGCUCUCCCUGAUAUGCAAUGUGGUCGUCUCCAGAAGGACAAAGCCUCAGUCUCCCACAUCGGUGGCCGUCGACCUCUCCCCAUGACAUCCACGACCCUCCUCUUACAAGGCAUCAAAUCCCCAUCACCAAGCAAAGGCUCUUCGUCCUCAUCGAUAAGACGUUACAAGGGAGGAGUCGAGGUUUCUGCGGCCUAAGUCUCCACGACUGAAGAAGGGAUAGAUUCAGAUACAGCCACUAGAGGGACCAGGGCAUGAAUAGAAGCAACCGCAAUCGAAGAAGGGACCAGGGCACGAACAGAAGCAGUCGCACUCAAAGAAGGGGCGGGAGCCGAAGGCGUAGUAGCUUUCCUCUUUUGGAACGAGGGUGCGGGAGCUUUCGACCUCUUCGAAGAUCCCAUGACCGAAGCUAGGAAAAACAUAGGGAAGAGGAAAGAUCAGCAAAGGUAAACAAAAAGACAAAAAGAACUAAGACACGAGUGAUAAAAGGAACUUACCAGUCGAAGGGAGAGCAGGCCCAAACUUCUUAAAGAAACCUGACCACUCAUGGAUCCAUACGACGUGAGGGAGGAGCCGAUCAACCCAGUCAGAAAUGUCUUCGACCAAAGGAGGAGGCGAAGUUUCGGCUGCACAAGAAAAUGACAAGAGGUCAAAGCCCACGACCAAGCACGGGAGAAAAAUCAAAUACCUACAAACAAGGAAAUUAGUUACUUACGAGCAUGAUUCCAAGCUUCAGGAAAACCAUCGACACUGGCCACCACGUCCUCUAUUCUGACGAAGAAGAAGUUGAACCAAAAUUGGUGGUUGUCUUUGUCGUCCAUUUUCACCACCAAGAACUUGCCUCCUCGGUGGAGAAGAUUCAAGUGCCGAAGCAUCAGUUCGACCUCGGCUAGCUCGAAAAAUUUGGUGUGUAUCCUUAUAAGCUUAUAAAGGUACGAUGCGAGCUGAGCUGGGCAAACGCCGUAAUAAUGACACAAUUCCUCCACCGGCUGAAGGAGAGGGAGAGUGUAGCCGACUUGGAAGGGGUAGCGUAGAAGGCACAAUACCCAGGACGGUGGACCUGCACAGUAUCCCACCCAGCCGGGAUUAAUUCGAUGUGAUUGGGAAGGACUUAGCCUUAAGCUCUCCCAAUUCCUUCACCGUCAUCACUGACCGAAAGGCUUCAUGGUCAGUAUCAGGUAAUUUGGAGAAAUCAGAUAUAGUAUCAAGGUUGUGAGGAAUUACUCCUUCACCAACGGGAAGCUUCCAUCCUCAAUAACGGCAAGAACAUUCUCCUCGUGAGGGGGAAACACCAUCGCCAAAGGGAUCACAUCACUUCCCUCACUAGACUUAGAAUCCAUGUUAGACAUGUUUUGAUAAAAGAAAGAAAGGUAUCAAACGAUGAAGAACUGGGAACAAUGCAAAUCACUGGAACAGAGAGGAGAGGUUUAAAGCAAAAAAAAAGCAAGAGAGUAACAUAGGGUUUCGAAACAACAGAAAACUUAAAACUUCAAAAUCACACCAAAAUACCUCAGGAUCUUGCCACCAAGACCGAAAAUGGUUCAUCAUUACUGGGCACCGAAACCGAAGCGACAAGUUCAAUCAAAGGACACAUGCGAAACGAAGCAACACAUCGGGAAUAUGCGUCAAAAUGACGCAUAACGUCAUGACGUCAUCCUAACUCGUGGACAUCAUAGCUCCAACAAAUCGCCUGGGAAAAUCGAAGCGUUUGAAAUGAGCAGCCCACGUAGGGCCACGUUGCCAGUUUGCUGUAACCACCAUGACCUGCACAGCUCGCUCGAUUAUUUUAACCACAACGAACAAGAUUCGCUCAUCGAACCCGCCUGAAGCCGGCCUCAAUAAGCUGAGGGACUAACUGUAUGGGUCAAAAUCUGACUUUAGAAUAUUUGAGCCAAAAAUAGUACUAAGGGAAGAGUUCCCAAGUCGUCGUUUGUCGAAAUGGCCUAAGGAGCAGCGAAGUCUGUGGUCGAAGAGUCAACGAGAGCCAUAGUCGAGGUGUCAACAAGGGUCGAGGCCGAGGUCGAGUACCGUUGACAGAGUUGUAACAGCUAGUUUUUAAGAUAGGAUAUUAAAGAGAAUAUUCUAGUGGAUAUUCUAUGCACUUGUACUAUUAGGGUUUCUUAGGAAUAUAUCCCAUAUAAAUAGAAAAAGAGACAAUGAUAGGGGACAUGUGAUACUCAUUUGUAAAAAUACACACUUUGACUUGAGAAAGAGUAUCAGAUCUCACUUGCUAAGAUACAAAUAUCACAUUUUCACUAAGAUUCUUGUCUAUACUUUUCCACUAGAUCCGAGAAUAACUCAAAUAUUCAAGGGAUUGUCUAUCAUUCAUCAUUGUGAGAAAGAACAUCCACUUAUUCCAUCCUUUCUUGGGUGAAUCAUUCAUUCUAUUUACUUAAAUACCAUUUAUUGCUAUUCAUUAUUAUUGAAUGCUAUAUUAUUGCUUCUGAUUUCUAGAACGCUUAUUGUAUCCAACCAGAUCCACGCAAUAUUUAUCGCUUCUUUAAGAACUCCAUAUUUGGAUAUUAUUGUUAGCUAAGAUUAAUNNNNNNNNNNNNNNNNNNNNNNNUUUAAGUUAUAUAAUAUUGACUGUAUAGGUAUUUCUUUUAUUAGUAUAAUUUAACUUAUUAUAGCAUGUUAGUUAUCAUGUUUAUCGAGUUAUCAAUUAAUGUUUGUAACAAACAUUUGAUAAUUGUUUUGUAAGUCAUUCUUUAAAUAGUUUUAGACAAUUAUGCAUGGAACUUCAUUCUAGUUAAAAAUAUUUUCACAAGGAAUGCUCGAAGGUUAAAACUAUUGACUUGACUUCGCUGCAUAAUGUAUGGUCACCACUCACCUUACAUCUUUUGUACUUACCAAUGAAAGAAGAACACGUGGUUCUCAGACGUAGCUGCUACGAUAAGUAAUUCCCUGUAAUUCUAUUCCAUGAACCUCAACGCAGAAGAUAGAAACCAGGUCUUCGUUCGCGUCGACUUGUAGAACAAAAGUUUUCUCCACGUCUGAAGAGGCGACAGGAACCAAUAAAAUCACGCCACGUAUAGAAUCACACAUCUUAACCGUUGGAUCGUCCACGCUGGCAAAAAGGAGAUCAAUUAGGAAAAUGAAUCUCCUAGGUGACACAUACGGCGACGAGCUCACUAUAUAUAGUCGCUCAAUGGAAAUGGCGCAACUUAAAGAAGCAAAAUUUCAAAAGCCGCUGAGGUCUGAGAGUGAAAUCCAAUACAAAUGAGGAAGUGGACGAUCCCUUCCGUUCUGUUUCUGUUAUGUCUUCUUUUCCUUCUUCCAGAUCAAGGUAAACUAGGGUAUUAUGUUCAGCUUCCUGUAAAUUUUGAGAUCUCAUGGAAUUUUCUUGUUAUAUGUAUGUAAGACUGCAAUGUUAUUUUUGAAAUAGUUGAAUUAGAUGAUAAACUAAUACUGUGUAUCGAGCAUUGGGCAGUAAAUUUGCCUUAUUAGUCUUGGAGUUUAUGAGGCUUUUUUAGUCCGGUGUUGCGUUGAGACAUUGCUUCCAUAAUUAUUUAAGGAAUUACUUAGUUGAUUGAUUGAUUGAAUUGCUUAGUGGAGUACGGACAUUACUGCUUUAUUCUGAAGCAUGAUUUUUCCACUCACUAGGUCGGAGGAUACAAGCAAAUGCGGAAGCUGAAUCUGACGCCCCUGUAGAUCCGCCAAAGGUUGAGGAAAAGCUUGGUGCUGUUCCACAUGGUUUAUCCACUGAUUCUGAUGUCGUUAAAAGGUUUCCGAAUCGUUGAUUCAUUUAGUUUGUUUCGCUCUGAUUCAUUGCCUUCAGCUUCUUUGUAUGUUCAUUGCUCUGAGUACUAUAUCAUUAUAGGGAAUCGGAGUCUAUGUCAAGGAAAACUCUCCGAGCUGAUGCAGAGAAAUUUGAGUUCCAAGCUGAGGUCUCUCGGCUUAUGGACAUCAUUAUCAACUCCCUUUACAGUAACAAGGACAUCUUCUUGAGGGAGCUGAUCUCGAAUGCAUCCGAUGUAAGCAUACUUUUAAGUCUCUGGGGAUGUUCGACAUUAUCUGCAAAUGAUUUCUUCUAAGUUAAUAUGCUGUUAAAUUCAGGCGCUGGACAAGAUUAGGUUCCUGUCACUUACUGACAAGGAAGUACUUGGGGAAGGUGAUAACACUGAGCUUGAGAUCCAGGUUGGUGAUUUGUGUCCGUUGUUUGUGUAUACUCUGUUGGUUGCUAGUACAGGAAGUUGCUCUUUUAAAAGCUGUUCUGAUGAUUGUAUUGUUUAUUGCAGAUUAAACUGGAUAAAGAAAAGAAAAUUCUUUCCAUUCGUGACAGAGGUAUAGGAAUGACUAAGGAGGAUUUAAUAAAGAACUUGGGAACUAUAGCUAAAUCUGGAACUUCAGGUAAUCUAUCUGGUGGAUAUGAGAUUUGUGGUGUUCUUGGAGUUCUCUUUACUGUUCACUAAUUUGUUAUUGCUCAACAGCCUUUGUUGAGAAGAUGCAGACAAGUGGAGACCUUAAUCUGAUUGGACAAUUUGGUGUUGGGUUUUACUCGGUCUAUCUUGUAGCUGACUAUGUUGAGGUCAUCAGCAAGCAUAACGAUGACAAACAGUAUGUUCUUGUUUGAAUGUGUUGAUUAAUGACAAUUCAUGUAAUGGGAAUGUUGUUAGUGAUUUAACAAAUUUCUGCAUUCAGAUAUGUCUGGGAGUCGAAGGCUGAUGGGGCAUUUGCCAUUUCUGAGGAUGUAUGGAAUGAACCUCUUGGUCGUGGAACCGAAAUUAGAUUGCACCUCAGAGAUGAAGCAGGAGAAUAUUUGGACGAGUACAAACUGAAGGUGUGUCUGAUAGAUACUUCCCAAGGAGACUCUUUUCAUAUAUCAUGAAUUGGUGCAUGCCAACACUUUAAUAUUUCACCAGUCAUUUAGAGUAAUUUUUAUUUUUCAUUCUAAUAUUGAUUUUGGCAUAGUAGGUAAUAAUAUAUUAUAAUGCUGAAAUAAAUGGAAAUAAACAAUCUUAACCUUUUGUGCCUUGGUAUUGAUUUAUCAAUUCCUUUUUGUCCCACAUUAUCCAUUAGACCUUUGUAUAAGGUAAAUAGUUUUAUUAACAUUUGGGGGAACCCCUUGUACAAGCUGUAUACCAAAAAAAGAGAACCUACACCAAAAUAUGGUUCUCAACAAACGAGAUCCAAUCUUAUAUACAAUUAGGGACCUCAUGAGCACACCUAAAAGAAACUAGAAACAAAAGACUACUUUGCAAUUUUAUAAACUCUUGUUCCACUCCUUCAAAUGCCUUUCUAUUUCUCUCUUUCCAAAUAACCCACAUGAUUGCUAAGGGGGCAACACUCCAUGUCCUUAGACUUUCUUCCCACUUCUAUGAGCCCAACUAUGCAGCACUUCCUUCACUGAACCCGCACAUCAUCCGCUAGAUUAUAUUCUAUUGCAGACUAGAAGUAAAUACUUUCCAAAAUUGAGGAACAUAACGAAGACCAGGGCAGUAAAAGGGCUGCAAACGUUUGUGACCCAUUGAUUUGAAGCUAGUUCUAGGUUGUUUUCUUAUAUGAAUUUUUCUGCUCCCCCUUAGGAUUAUUUUAUUAUUUGGACCUUUGAUUGAAAGGGUGCAGUCUAACAGAAGAAACAACAGGACCAAUUACUUGAUAUUCCAUAAGUCUUGUAUUACAGUGGUUGAGAAUGAGAUGAUUAAGCUUAUGGAUGAAUUGCUAACUAAAAGUAAAAGUCUGUGAUAUUUGGGCUGUUUCUGUUUUAGCAUAUUCAAUCUUGUGCUUGUGUGUCUGUGUGGAGGUACCGUAAAUUUUUGUAGUUAGAAAAAAAAGCCCAACCUGUUGUUCUGUUGACUAAGUUUUUGGAUUCUUACAUUUUGGUACUUGUCAUCAGCAUCUAUCCUGAAUAUUCUCUACUCCAAAUUUGAUUAUUUUCCAGUUCAAGUUACCAGAUUAAAUUGAAAAUAAGAGUUUCUAUGGACAUACUUUCUGUUUCUAAAAUAAUAUUAUGUUUCUGAAGCUUCUGUUGAGGUUCUCUACAUUGCUUAAUGCAUGGGUUACCUUGUAUUCAGGACCUGGUGAAGAAAUACUCUGAAUUCAUCAACUUCCCUAUAAAUCUUUGGGCAAGCAAAGAGGUUGAGAAGGAGGUUCCUGUCGAUGGAGACGAGUCAAGUGAUGAAGAGGAAACAUGUAUGCGUGAUUCAUCCUACUUGGCUUGCCAAGUUUAUUCAGUGUUAACGAAGUCGGAACUUGUAGUGAAUGUGUUUAAUGCAUAUUUUAAGACCUGUUCCCUGCUCGGAGAAAUUGUUUGAGGUUUUGGGGGUGUGGGGGGUGUGGUAGGUUGCUAGAUGAAUUAAAGUUUACCCCCUCAUCUUUUAAUCUUAUGCGACCUCAUAGUCUUUCAAUGUUGUGAACAGCUGAAACCAGCCCUUCUGAAGAAGAAGGAGAUGAAGAUGAUUCUGAGAAGCCAGAAGAUGAGAAAAAGCCUAAAACUAAGAAAGUGAAGGAAACCACUUAUGAGUGGGAGCUUUUGAAUGAUGUGAAAGCUAUAUGGCUUCGGAAUCCAAAGGAGGUGACAGAGGAAGAGUAUACGAAAUUCUAUCACUCACUUGCAAAGGUAAAUUGCUACUUACAUACUUUCUUCCACUUGAAAUGCAGUGAGAAGAGUAGAAAACUUUUGUGAACUCUCUUAUCAUUUGCUAAAUUCUUGUAUUAUUUUGCCAGGACUUCAGUGAUGAGAAGCCCUUUGCUUGGAGUCACUUUAAUGCUGAAGGUGAUGUUGAGUUCAAGGCUGUACUGUUUGUCCCUCCUAAGGCUCCUCAAGAUUUAUAUGAAAGCUACUACAACUCCAAGAAAUCCAACUUGAAGUUAUAUGUCAGACGGGUCUUUAUCUCUGAUGAAUUUGACGAAUUGCUGCCCAAGUACUUGAGUUUCCUAAUGGUAGUUCUUGUUACUCUAGAACUUCACUGUUUAUAUUACGUAUGGGCCAAGAGUUUCUAACGCCAUUUUGUUUGACAUUAUGCUAGGGUCUUGUUGAUUCUGACACCUUACCCCUCAAUGUCUCAAGAGAAAUGCUUCAGCAGCACAGCAGCUUGAAGACAAUUAAGAAGAAACUCAUCCGCAAGGCCCUUGACAUGAUACGCAAGAUUGCUGAUGAGGAUCCUGAUGAAUCUAACGACAAGGAUAAGAAAGGUUAGUUUAUAUCUCUGAACAAUCCAUUGCCUAAGAGAUUGAAUUUCUCAUUUCCUCUUUUCUGAGUUUCUCAUGACGUUACAGAUGUUGAAGAAUCCAGUGCAGACAACGAGAAGAAAGGUCAAUACACAAAGUUUUGGAAUGAAUUUGGAAAGUCAGUAAAACUUGGUAUCAUAGAAGAUGCAACUAACAGAAAUCGCUUGGCUAAGCUCCUCCGAUUUGAGACGUAUGCCCUGUGUCUUAAGAGUAAUUCUUUGAUGAGAUUGUUAAGUCAAAUCAGGGUGACUGAUCCCUUGUCGUCUUAAUAUUUUCUCGUUUACAGCUCAAAAUCAGAUGGUAAACUAACUUCCCUAGAUCAGUACAUCUCAAGGAUGAAGGCUGGACAGAAGGAUAUCUUCUAUAUAACUGGAGCUAGCAAAGAGCAGUUGGAGAAAUCACCAUUCCUUGAGAGGCUAACUAAGAAAAAUUAUGAGGUAUGAGUCUUUCUUAAGAUUGCAUGGGAAAGCUGCAUAACAAAAUAGUAGUUUAUUUUAACAGAAAGUAUUAGUCAUCUUUUCUUGCAUUGUGAGUUUGACUAUGUUCCUUGUCUUUGAUAUUUAAAUUCUCUUAUAAAUGCAUUUAUCAUGUCUGCUCUAAAGAUUCAUUUGCUAAGUUUCCCUUGUUUAGGUAAUUUUCUUCACGGAUCCCGUAGAUGAAUACCUGAUGCAGUACCUUAUGGACUAUGAAGACAAUAAGUUCCAAAAUGUAUCCAAAGAGGGCCUGAAACUGGGCAAGGAUUCAAAAGCCAAAGAGCUCAAGGAGUCAUUUAAGGAGCUAACCAAAUGGUGGAAGGGUGCUCUUGCUAGUGACAAUGUAGACGAUGUCAAGAUUAGCAACCGUUUGGCCGACACCCCUUGUGUAGUUGUGACAUCGAAAUAUGGUUGGAGUGCCAAUAUGGAAAGAAUCAUGCAGUCACAAACUCUGUCGGAUGCAAGCAAGCAGGCGUAUAUGCGGGGUAAAAGGGUGCUUGAGAUCAACCCUAGGCACCCAAUUAUCAAGGAGCUUCGGGAUAGAGUAAUCAAGGACCCUGAGGUACACUUGAUUUUAUCUCUACACAUGUGAUCAAACGAUAAAUGUUAUAGAAAUGGCUAACUGUUACUAAUUUCAUUAACUUGGUUCACAGGAUGAGAGCGUGAAGCAAACGGCUCAGCUGAUGUACCAGACAGCAUUACUGGAGAGUGGUUUCCUGCUCAAUGACCCAAAGGAUUUUGCCUCCCGCAUCUACAGCUCAGUUAAGAGCAGUUUAAAUGUCAGCCCUGAUGCAACAGUCGAGGAAGAAGAGGAUAUUGAGGAACCUGAAGCUGAAACUGAUGACAAGGAAGCUGCUGCCAAAGAUGAUUCUGAUGCGAAGGACGAAUUAUAGAUUAGUCUUGACGAAUGCCCUUUCUCUGGAGAAAACUACGUAGAAGUCACAUGCUAUAUACAAAGCGCAUGUGGAUAAUUUAGGUUUCAGAUUGUUAGUCCAUAGGUUAAUGUUAAAAGUACCAGGAUUUUUGUCUGUCUUGCAUUUUCACGGAUUUGUGUAUGAGAACGUUGCUGUGUUUUCUGCAACAUAAUAUAAUUUGCGAUCCUCUUUUUUUCUUCCUUUUUACCUCAAAUCUCCAAUAUGCACCAUCUAGGUUUCAAGCCUAGUCCACGGAGGAGCUCUUUGUUGGUUUUUAGCUUUGAAUGCUACCUAAAAUCACAAUUAUUGUAGGUCUACUAAAAGUUUCAUAGCGUAUUAGUUUUUUUUUUUUUGAUAAGAGGGGAAACUCGCGGUCGCUACAAUCUUUGACACAGCUUCUGCUUUUCGGGUGAGCACUCUGUGGUGAGCAUACUUUGUGCGCACUGGGUAAACCUCCCCCUGUGUAAUAGCCUACAAACCACACAGGGGAUGUAAACUGCACUAGGCAAGCCCUGUGCGACAGGUUCAACUCAGAAGAUAUUGAGGGGGGAUUAGAUCCCAAGUCAUCUGUAUGGAUAACCACCCUCCAAACCAACUGGGCAAACCCGAAGAGUUGCGUAUUAGUUAUUUUGAACUGCAAUAAAAAAGUAUUUUUGAAUCCCUCGAAAUCAUCAGUGAGUUUUAUCUUAGAAGUGUCAUAUUAUACAAUUAUUAUGACCAAAGUUAAUAUAUUUAACGUUAAGCGCGAUGAUUGGCAAUAUGACAAUUGAAUAUUGUUAAAAGGGGAAAUGGAGCUGGGUUAGAGAGUGAGAGCUUGAGUCGGUUACAAAGAGAAAGAGAGAGAAAAUCUCAAUUUCAUUUCUUCAAUCUUAAUUACAAUGUGUAUAUAUAUGCCUAUUUAUACAACUCACUAGCUAGCUAACUUAACUAUCUUCUAACAUAGUCCUUAGCUAACUAAUUAUGUAACUAACUAAGUACUACUCUAUAUCCAUUAAGUACAACUAUCACAACUACUAAUAUUUUCUACACUCCCCCUCAAGUGGGGUGAUGAAAUACAUUGAUCAUCCCCAACUUGCAUAACAUUUCACUGUGCAGUUGUUUCCCAAAACCUUAGAUAGAAUGUCUGUAACUUGCUCUUUGCUGGCAACAUGUUCUGUCUUGACCCCUGAUGCAGUUUUUCCCGAAUGAAAUGACAGUCUAUCUCUAUGUGUUUGAUACGCUCAUGGUACAUGGGAUGCGAUGUUAUUUGAAGAGUUGCCUUGUUAUCACAAAAUAACUCCAUUGGUAGAUCAAUCUCCAUUCCCAGUUCCUCCAACAGCCCAUGCAACCAAACCAGCUCUACUACUGUGGUUGCCAUACUCCUAUACUCAGCCUCACCUGAGCUUCUUGAUACUGUGCUCUGCUUCUUGGACCUCCAGGAAAUUAGUGAUUCUCCCAGCUUUAUGCAAAACCCAGUGACAGACUUUCUAGACACCAUACAAGAUACCCAAUCAACAUCACAAAAGGCAGUGAUCUUCCUGGACUUGUUAUUGCUCAUCAGAAGUCCUAGGCCUGGCUGGCUUUUCACAUAUUUAACCACCCUUAAUGCAGCUUCAUAGUGUGACUCUUUUAGAGCAUGCACAAACUGACUCAAUGUUUGGACUGCAAAGGAUAUGUCUGGUCGUGUGAUUGCCAGGUAGAGUAGUCUUCCCAUCAACCUCUGAUAAGGUCUUCUAUCUUCCAUCUCUUUAUCAGUGUCAAGUUCAAACAAUUUGUUAUACUCCAAACUAGUGAACUUCUGAUUCUGCUCCAAAGGGGUUAUAGCUGGCUUUCCUCCCCCUAAGCCAUAUUCUGAUAUCAACUCUAGAGCAUAUUUUCUCUGGUUCAUGAGUAUGCCUUUGGAUGACUUGGCAAACUCUUCCCAAGAAAUACUUCAACUCACCCGAGUCUUUCAUUUUGAAGUUGUUAUUAAGGAUGUGCUUGGCCUCUUGUAUCAGCUUGAUGUCACUACCAGUAAUAAGCAAGUCAUCAACAUACACUAAUAUUAUGACAAUGUGUGUAUCCUACCUUUUAGUAAAUAGGGAAUAAUCUAACUUGCUUUGAGUAAAAUCUGAAUUGAUAAGAGCAGUGGUAAGCUUCAAAUUCCAUUGCCUACUUGCUUGUUUGAGGCCAUAUAGUGAUUUGAGGAGCUUGCAAACCUUAUUCUCCCCUGGCUACCAAAUCCCUGUGGCAAGGACAUGUAGACUUCCUCAAACAAGUAUCCCUGAAGGAAGGCAUUGUAGACAUCCAUCUGGUAGAGUGGCCAAUUAUGCUGAGCAGCCAAAGACACAACACAUCUGACAGUCACAAUCUUCACUACAGGAGAGAAGGUGCUAUGGUAAUCCAGACCCUCAUGUUGGGUAAGGUCUUUGGCCACUAAUCUGGCCUUAUACCUUUCAACACUACCAUUUGCCUUAUACUUCACCUUAUACACCCACUUACAUCCAAUGGGUAUUUUACCUGUAGGCAAAUCGACCACUUACCAUGUAUGAUUGUCAGUGAGGGCCUCAAUCUCAAGCUUCAUAGCCUGAAUCCAGAACUUUAGAGGUGCAUUAGCUUGAAACCUGAGUGCCAUUGCCAUCUCAAGCAAGUGCCUGUAUUUCCUCUCAGCUACCCCAUUCUGUUGAGGGGUAUGAACAUAUGAACUUUGAUGCACCACUCCAAGAGAAGUAAAAAGAGUGUUACAUUGAGAAUUGCAAAGUUCAAGUCUAUUGUCUGAUCUAAUGGUCUUGAUAGAAGCAGAAAACUGAAUUUUAAUCAAGGCAAAGAAAUUUCUGAGUAAAACAAUGACAUCACUUUUCAUUCUCAUCAAAUAAACCCAAGUCAUUCUAGAAUAGUCAUCAACAAUAGUAAGAAAAUAUCUAUAACCGUUGUAAGUAUAUUGUCUAUAUGGACCCCACACAUCCAUAUGUACAAGUUCAAAAGGAGAGACAACUUUAGAAGUACUAGUAGGAAAUGGAAACCUAGUUUGUCUUACCAAAGGACAAAUUGUACAAGACAAAGACUCUUUAUUGAACAAAUGACUUUGUAAGAAAGGAAGUUUUUGAAGAACAGCAGCUGGUGCAUGACCAAAUCUCUAGUGCCACACUGAGAAUUGAUGAGAUUGAGCAGAAGAGAAGCAAUGUUGUGAAGAUACAGGGAAGACUGAAGUACAUGGAACAUGUGCUUUGACAGGUGAUAGCUUCUUGGUAGGUUGAAGUAAGUAUAGACCAUCCUUCUCCUUACCAAUCCCCUUCACCUUGCUAGUGCAAAGAUCUUGGAAGAUGCAGAAAUCAGGAUAAAAACCCACACAACAUUGCAGUUGUUUGGUCAGUUUUGAGAUAGACAAAAGAUUAUAUUUGAAAAGAGGAACAUAGAGGACAUUUGUUAGUUCAUCAUUAAACAGUGAAACUGAACCAACAUGUGUAACAGAGGUCACAUGACCAUUUGGUAAAUGAAUUUUGUUGGCAUUAGGUGUAAUUAGUUCAAGAUUUAGCAAAAUAUUCAAGCUAGAAACCAUAUGAUUUGUUGCCCCUGUGUCAACCACCCAUGGAAUGAAUUCAGUGCCUUCAGAUAAACUAACAUUAGAGCAAUUAGAUAUAUCUGCCAUAUUAGCAACUUCUUCCUGUGAGGGUACUGUCUUGUUGAUCAGCUGUAGGAUCUGUUGAUGUUGUUCAGGAGUGAAAGUAGGCAUUGGCAUGUAAUGAGUAGAUGGAUGAGCAGGACUAUUGGAGCAUGAUGUAUCUGAGUGCCCCAAGUAAUUGGCACUGCUGACUGAAAGUCCUUUGUUAUUAGUUCCAAACUGUUAUGGCCUCUCAAAACUUUUCUUCCUGUUAGCCUUAAAAUUAGGUGGAUACCCAACCAAUUUGUAGCAAUUCUCCCUUUUAUGUCCUUUCAUAUUGCAAUAAUCACAGUAUAAUCCGUUUGGUUUCUUAAACAUGUUGUUCUGCAUAGCAGCAAGAGCUGUAGGAUCAUUCAAAUCCAGGUUUGGUAAUGGCUGAGCACACGGUGUUAUCAUAUUUGACUUCAUUCGUUGGCUUUCAUCUUGCAUGAGCAUAUUGUAGGCUUUGUUCAAUGAUGGACUUGGAACUGUCAUCAAAAUCUGGCUGCGUGACUGUGCAUAGGUCUCAUUUAAGCCCAUUAAAAAUUGCAUUAACUUCUGUUAUUCCAUAUGAUUUCAUAAGCCUUGUCACUCCCAAGCAGUGGAACUAAUGAAAGGUAUUUAUCCCAAAUGUUACGCAUCUUAGAGAAGUACUCAGAUAUAAUAGAAGUUCCCUGUGUCAUUGUGUAGAUUUCCAUAUGUAGCUGAUAAACUCGUGUAAGAUUUCUUUUAUCAAAACGCUCUUUCAAGUCCAUCCAAACCUUAUGAGCAUUAGAUGAAUACAUCAAUCCAUUUCCUAGUUCCCUUGAUACUGAAUUGGUGAUCCAUGAUAGGACAAAAGUAUUGCACCUAUCCCAUUCAUGUACUAGGUCUCCUCUAUAAUGUUCCUUACGACAGCUACCAUCAAUAAACCCUAGUUUAUUUUUUGCUAACAAUGCAACCUUCGUAGAAUUACUCCAUGCAGUGUAAUUUUCUAUACCAGUUAACUGUUGAGGGAUUAGGAUACAACCUAGAGUAUCAGAUGGAUGUAGAUACAGAGGAUUACUUGGGUGAAUGUCGGUGAAUCGUUCGAUCGAAUCUCCAGCUGUAGGUGCUGAAUCUUCAGUGUUAGUCGAAAUUUGUGCAAAGCGAUUUGCAAUUGCAGCUACAAAGAGCUUAAGAUUCCAUAAAUUGAACUAACUUUUGGGUCAGAAAAGAAAAAAACACCAAAAAAAAAUUGUGAAGAAAGAAAAAACUUUGAACAACACAACAAUGGCAGAAAUUAGGGUUUGCUGUGCUCCGAAAAUCAUUCUCUGCUCACCGAUUGUUCUCAAUUGCUCAUUCUUCAGCUCAAAAUUCCACCGAUCGGUGGCUCUGAUACCAUGUUAAAAGGGAAAAUAGAGUUGGGUUAGAGAGUGAGAGUUUGAGUCGGUUACAGAGAGAAGGAGAGAAAAAAUCUCAAUUUCAUUUCUUCAAUCUUAAUUACAAUGUGUAUAUACAUGCCUAUUUAUACAACUCACUAACUAGCUAACUUAACUAUCUUCUAACAUAGUCCUUAGCUAAUUAAUUAUGUAACUAACUAAGUACUACUCUAUAUCUAUUAAGUAAUCUGUAGCUUUUUACAGAUUUGUUUGUAGUUUUAUGUCCUUUUUACAUGCGAUUGUAUUUUACACAUAAGAGACCCGAAAAUAACAUAUAAAACAUCUUUGCAUGGUAAUUUUUAUUUUUUUAAAUUGUAAGUAGGCACAAGAGACAAUUUCCUCAACUGAUUCUUUUAAUGUUUACAAUGAUAUUUCAAAAGAAAAAACCAAGACACUAUUCUUUCUUCUUGAUUAUGUGAGCACUGCGAUAAACUCUUAAUUACACACAAUAUAAUUGUAUACGGUUAAAAUCGAGCCCACCCAAUUUUUUUAUUUGACCGGGACCAGGGAGCUGCAUCGAAGGUCGGCCCCGUAGUGGAUCAGACCAAGGUACGAGGAAAAAGUACCAAGUUCGGGAUUCGAAGUACUUGUCGAGAUCGAGGCCAGCAACGAUCGAGACCGAAUAAGAAAGGCAUCGAUCAAGAUCAAAGAUAACAUAAUAACAGAAAGACGAAAUAUCCGUGACUAGUCGAAGAUCAUGGCGAAAAUCUCGGAACAAAUCAAAUUAGGAACGGUUAAUUAGCUAAUCAUGUAAUUUUCUUCUGUAAUUAGAGUUAUACCAUAAGUAGAAUUCCUCUACUAUAUAAAGGAGAGUAUUAACCAUUUGUAAGGACACAUUGUUCUCGCAUAAAAAAGCCAAUAUAACGCGCUUAUACUUUCUUGUUCAUCAACUUGCUUUAUUUAUAACUGUUUUGGUAUCAAUCGGUUCGAGGGGACCCUAGCUCGAGGGUUGAAUCCUGUUUCAAAACUGGUUCGCUUUAAUUUAUAGUUCAUUUAUGUUAUUAAUCUUCAUAUUUAUCAAUUGGUAUUGAGUAAAGUCACGUGUCCUUAGAACCACAUUAUAUGGUCAAUUGUUAUCCAAUUUUAAGGAUAAACAGUUUGGCGCCCGCUUUGGGGCUAAGGAUAAUAGUGAUUGCUUAAUACUGAUUCCGAUAACACAAACUGCUUUACACUUGUUCUCAUAAGAAUCUUUAUUUUUAGGAUAAACAUGUCAAACUCACAAGCAGCGCCUACAAACGGUGACAACGACCUUGGAUUUCACGGAAAAAUGACAAUAUAGUCGCCCCAGGAAUCGAGGAGCCUCAGGCUGACCUCAAGGGAGUACCAAUUGCAAAUCCCGUCGAUGUCAGUUCACAUGUCGCCCUAAAUGCAAAUUUGGGCGUUGAUCCCGAAGGUAGCAUAUGCAGGGAAGUUCGAUCAGGUGGUCGAGGUACGCAGGGCAGAGAAGAUGGUGGAGUUAGCCUCCAAUUGAUAUUAGAAAUAUUAUAAGCUCAACAAGCCGUUAUGGCACAACUAAAAAAUCAGCACCGAACACCGAGUAGGAUCAAACCAGAAGUCGUCCAUAGGACCGAGCCUGUGCCGGAAAGGUCGAACACCAACGAAUCGAGGACUGACCCGCCAUAAUAAAAAUGCUCGAAGAGCUCACUAAAUAGUUUGAAUCGGGAGAAAAGAAAAUCGAGGCAAAUGACAAGAAAGUAAAGACAUACAACUCCCGGGUUGACCAAAUACCGGGGGCACUGCCGAUUCUAAAGGGCAUGGAUUCAAAUAAAUUCGUACAGAAGCCUUUCCCUCCAAGUGCGGCUCUGAAACCCAAUCCGAAAAAAUUUUGAAUGCCAGAAAUUCCCAAGUAUAAUGGGACCACCGACCCUAAUGAGCAUGUCACUUCUUAUACAUGCGCAAUAAAAGGGAAUGACUUGGAAGAUGAUGAGAUUGAAUCUGUUUUACUGAAGAAAUUUGGAGAAACCUUGUCGAAAGGAGCAAUGAUAUGGUACCACAAUUUGCCGCCUAAUUCUAUCGAUUCCUUUGCCAUGCUUGCAGACUCCUUCAUAAAGGCACAUGCCGGAGUAAUAAAGGUUACAACUAGGAAGUCGGACCUCUUCAAGGUGAAACAAAAAGACAACGAAAUGUUGAGGGAAUUCGCAUCUCGGUUCCAGAUGGAACGCAUGGAACUACCACCAGUCACAGACGAUUAAGCUGUUCAAGCCUUUACUCAGGGUUUGAACGAACGAAGUUCGGUGGCAUCACGACAACUAAAGCAGAAUUUAAUUGAAUAUCCAGUGGUAACUUGGGCCGAUGUACAUAAUCGGUACCAGUCAAAGAUCAGGGUCGAGGAUGAUCACUUGGGGACCCCUUCCGGUUCCGUUUAUCCAAACAGGCAAUUCGGCAGAACUCAAAAGGAUAUCGACAGAGAACCCCGGUCGAACAGAGAUCGGUAUUAACCAUACAACGUAGAUCGUAGAAACAGCAGCCCAGGACGCAAUCCCAUCCAAAAUAAUCAAAGAAACGAUCAUUGACAGAGCUCUCGAUGGCUCAUGAGCAAAAGUGGCUUCGAUAAACAUGCUGAUCCCACAGAAGCACCACAGUUAUCAGAUGUGUUAGCCAUUGGGAGAAUCAAAGUUACUAGAUGGCCAGACCCCUACAAACCGAUCCAUCCCAAAGAAACCCCAAUCAAAUAUGCAAAUACCAUGGUACACAUGGUCAUAGAACCGAAGAUUGCAGACAACUAAGGGAGGAGGUGGCACGUCUAUUCAACGAGGGUUACCUUCGAGAAUUCUUGAGCGACCGAGCUAAGAACCAUUUCAAAGAUAGGGAUGCGAAUAGGAAAAAUGAGCAGGAAGAACCACAACACGUGAUUCACAUGAUCGUUANNNNNNNNNNNNNNNNNNNNNNNNNNNNNNNNNNNNNNNNNNNNNNNNNNNNNNNNNNNNNNNNNNNNNNNNNNNNNNNNNNNNNNNNNNNNNNNNNNNNNNNNNNNNNNNNNNNNNNNNNNNNNNNNNNNNNNNNNNCACGGCCGGCCACGAGAUCCUUAGUUUUCUCGAUGCCUACUCCGGGUACAAUCAAAUACAAAUGAACCCGGAGGAUCAGGAAAAGACUUCGUUCAUCACUAAGUACGACACCUAUUGUUAUAAUGUAAUGCCGUUUGGACUAAAAUAUACCGGUGCCACUUAUCAACGCUUAGUAAAUCGAAUGUUCGAAGAACAAAUAGGUAAAUCAAUGGAGGUUUAUAUUGACGAUAUGCUAGUUAAGUCCCUACGACCAGAGGACCAUUUGACACAUUUGUAGGAGACCUUCGAUAUACUAAGGAAACACUACAUGAAACUCAACCCGGAGAAAUGUGCAUUCGGGGUCGGCUCAGGCAAGUUCCUCGGCUUUAUGGUAUCAAAUCGGGGGAUCGAAAUCAACCCCAAUAAGAUCAAGACAAUCGAAGACAUCACAGUAGUGGACAAUGUUAAGGCCGUACGAAGAUUAACAGGGCGCAUAGCCUCCCUAGGCCGAUUCAUCUCGAAGUCUUCAGAUAAAAGUCACAGGUUCUUCUCACUGCUCAAAAAGAAGAACAAUUUUGCAUGGACCCCGGAAUGCCAACAAGCAUUGGAAGAAUUAAAGCGGUACCUUUCGAGCCCGCCACUGCUUCAUACUCCGAAAACGGACGAGAAACUCUACUUGUGCUUAGCAGUCUCGGAAAUCGCGGUAAGUGGGGUCCUAGUUCGAGAAGAGCAAGGUACGCAAUUUUCUGUUUACUAUGUUAGUCGAACUUUAGGUGAGGCCGAGACCCGGUACCCAUACUUAGAAAAAUUAGCACUUGCUGAUGUUUGGCUAUAAUUUCAUAUUUUUAAUGCAUUACUUACCUUACAUUUUGGUGCUUUAAUGCUAAACUAUACUAUAUUCGUGCUUAAUUGAGUCUAUUUUAUGUGUAGGUACAUUGAAGACAAAAUUAGGAGCAAAGUAAAAUUUUUAUAUGUAUUAUAUACACUACAAGAAUGGAGCUAUGAUUAUUUGAUUAUUGGAUAUACAAGAAUUAAAGUUUAAUACUACAAAGGAAAUCAAAACAAUGAAAGGGAAACUGAAAAAGAACCAAACGCAAGAAAUGAGAAUGAGAAAAGAGUUGGAAAAGUUAGGCAGCCAACAUUGAAACGAAGAUAAGCAGUUGGGCGACGCGAGAAAUUUAGCUCGCGGUGGAGCUAGCGACGCACGGGCUAAGGCGAGGUGGACCAGGCAUUUUGCCUCGCGAGGCGAGGUCCGUGGCGAGCAUGUUCCGGAUUUUUAAAGCCUAUUCGUCUCCUAUUUGAUUUUGGACUUGGUUAUUUCGUUUAGGUCUCUUUCCUACACAUAUAAAUAGUCAUUAAACACCAUUCUUAGAGGAGUUUUGCGACUGGAGGCAUGAACAUCACGUGGACAACUUUUGGAGGAGAAAAUCAUCGAGUUCUUCAUCCAUUUAUCUUUUCUUUGUAAUUUGUUUAUGCAAAAUACUUGGAAAAUUGUUACUACGAACAUGAGUGGCUAAAACCCAUAGUUCUGGGUUGUGAUUUAGCCAUGAAUAUUGUUAUUUUACGUUGACUUAACCUUGAUUACAAUUCACUAAUAUAUGGUUAUUUCUUUAAUUCUGUGAUUAAUUGCUUAAUUGUCUGGCCAGCAGUUAGGUCCUAUUUAUUAUCUAUGUUAUGCUUGGGAAAGCCAUGUUUAAAUUAGUGAAGAAUUGAAGAGAGCACGAUCUUAACUCUUAGGGGGGACGGAUUUGUGGUUAAGAUAGGAAUAUACCUAGUCACCGUGCUUAAUUAAAUAUCGUAAUCUUAAUGCGUUCUUGAUAGAUUGAUUCCAUAGGAAUAUAGGCGUUGAUUUAUUUUGAAUAGGCGAGUAGUACUCCGGGAGAAGUCUAUGAGAGCAAUUGUUCGAUUAACUAGCAACCAUGAGUGAAUUGUAUGAAAGGGAGAGUUAACUAGAACAUAAUAGAAUUGGUGAAUCGAUCACAACCCUGGAAUAUUUGUCUCUACUGAAUACACCACAAUUAUUUUGCUACUUGAUAAUUUAGUUACUACUUAGAAUUAUAGUUUAGUAUAAUCACAUUCUUGAACUCGAUUUUGGCUUGACUGAAUAACAAUCUUGGUGAAUUUAGUGGGUAGUUGAUACAAGUCUCUAUGGGUUCGACACUCGACUUAUCAUUUUAUUACUUGUAUGACCAUGUAUACUUGCGUGUGCGUUUGGGAGUAACACUUGCCCUAAUAAGUGCCUCUAGGAAAUUAAAACCAUAUUUUCAGUGUCACCUGAUCUGUGUGGUGACUACUUAUCCCCCUCGCAAUAUUUUGCUUAAGCCCGAACUUUCGGGUCGAUUGGCCAAAUGGGCCGUCGAUAUUAGUGGGUACAAUAUCGAGUAUCGACCCCGAACGUCCAUCAAGUGUCAAAUCUUAGCGGACUUCGUGGCCGACUUUACGCCAGCCCUCGUACCCGAGGUCAAAAAGGAACUAUUAUUAAGCUCGGGUACAUCAUCGGGGGUGUAGACCCUCUUCACAGACGGCACUUCGAACAUGAAGGGUCCGGGCUUGGCAUCGUUUUGAAACCGCCCACGGGUAAUACAAUUAGACAAGCUAUCAAAACUUUCAAGCUAACUAAUAAUGAGGCCGAGUAUGUACCAUGAUUGCAGGUCUCGAGAUAGCUAAAGGUUUGGGAGCAGAGGUCAUCGAGGCCAAAUGUGACUCCCUACUUGUGGUAAACCAAGUUAACAGAACCUUCGAGGUUCGAGAAGAUCGAAUGCAGAGGUACUUAGACAAAUUACAGGUGACUCUACAUCGGUUUAAAGAAUGGACCCUACAGCAUGUGCCUCGAGAAUAAAACAGCGAGGCUGAUGCCCUUGCAAAUUUGGGGUCAUCAGUCGAAGACGACGAGAUUAGCUCGGGGACUGUCGUACAACUUUCAAGGUCAGUAAUCGAAGAAGGCCACGCCAAAAUCAAAUCCAUAAGUCUGACCAGGGAUUGGAGGAAUAAAUAUAUCGAGUACCUAAAUAACGGGAAGCUUCCAUCGGAUCCUAAGGAAUCGAGGACUCUACGUACGAAGGACGCACGAUUCACAUUGGCCGAAGAUGGAACACUAUAUAGAAGGAUGUUUGAUGGACCAGUGGCAAUAUGUUUGGGACCAGGAGAUACUGACUACGUCCUGCGAGAAAUCCACGAGGGCACCUGCAGAAAUCAUUCUAGUGCCGAAUCAUUGGUUCACAAGGUCAUCAGAGCAGGAUACUAUUGAGCCGAUAUNNNNNNNNNNNNNNNNNNNNNNNNNUAGGCUUUUGAGAAAAUUAGAGAGAAAGAAGUCGUAGACUUCAUCUGGGACCACAUUAUAUGCUGAUUCAGGAUACUUGCCGAGAUCGUAUGCGAUAAUGGAAAGCAAUUCGUCGGCAGCAAAGUAACAAAGUUUCUCGAAGAUCACAAAAUAAAAAGGAUCCUGUCAACGCCAUAUCAUCAUAGUGGGAACGGACAGGCCGAAUCGACAAACAAGACCAUCAUUCAAAAUCUAUAGAAAAGAUUGAACGAUGCUAAGGGAAAAUAGAGAGAAAUAUUGCCCGAAGUCCAUUGGGCGUAUCGAACAACACCAAAAUCCAGUAAGGGGGCAACACCAUUCUCUUUAGUAUAUGGCGCCAAAGCUCUGAUCCCGGUUGAAGUCAGGGAACCCAGCGUCAGGUUAUAUGCAACGGAAGAGUCAAAUCACGAGGCUAUGAAUACAAGCCUUGAAUUGCUAGAUAAAAAAUGGGAAGCCGCCCUCGUUCGAAUGGCCGCACAGAAACAACGGAUCGAAAGGUACUACAAUCGAAGAGCCAAUCUUUGACACUUUAAAAUCAGGGACUUGGUUCUGAGGAAGGUCACCCUCAAUACUCGAGACCCAAACGAAGAAAAACUUGGCCCGAACUGGGAGGAACCGUAUCAGGUCCUGGAUAUCAUCGGAAAGGGAUCCUACAAACUUAGCACGAUGAGCGACGAACAAUUACCAAACAAUUGGAACAUAUCACUACUCAAACGAUAUUACUGCUAAGGUACGACCUUCUCCACUUUCAUUUAUAUUUUAUACUAACCAUUUGCAGGUGUUUAAUCGAAGACAUCAAAGGAUUCUUCAAACACAAAGUCCUUAGGUCUGAAAGUACACGUUGCACUCUUUUUCCCUUAGACCCGUUUUUGUCCCAAAUGGGUUUUUCCGGCGAGGUUUUUAACGAGGCAAACAUUGUUCGUGCUAAACUUAGAGCAAUUCAACAGUAUUCGAGGCUCUUUUAUAAUCAACCUCGAAUACUGGGGGGCAUCACCCUCGGAUAGUUACAAGAAAAAUACUUCGUGCCGACAGGGUCUCGAUAGGUAAAUUUUGUAAGGGUCAAACGGUCGAACGAACCUUGCCCAUGUAGAUUACUCGAGCCCUAAUGGAAAAUAUUUACGCAUGUUAAUCUAUUGAAAAAAAGUAUUUUUCCUUGCCAGAUAUUUCAUUCCUUAGAGAAAUUUUUACUUUACAAUGUCGUGCUUGUGAUCUAUUGUGAAAACUGGCUUAAGGGCCGGUCUCAACUAAAGUUCAAACAAUUGACCCCGCUCUCGGGGACUACCAUCCAAAAAAUUGACAUGAUCGAAUUACUAAAAUCUCAAGAUCGUAAGACCUUAAAAAGGCAACCCUCGAUUUUAUAGGCCACGGCCACCCCACUCGGGGACUGAUACUUCGAACAAGCUAAAGGCUACGGCCAAAUUAACACGGUUCGGAGAUGUCCGAUUUUCGUUAUAAAACAGGCCUUCGAAUAUUUUCAUAAACCGGUUAAAAAGGCUACCCUCGGCUAAAUUACUAAGGGUCUCGAUAAUAUCGACCCUCGAUAAUCCUAAUGGGUACAAAAUCAUUCAAACUCUCAAACAAAUUCUUUAUUUUAUGCUAAGGCAUUACGAAACAAAGGGUCUCGAUAAUAUCUACCCUUGAAAACCCUAAAUGGGUACGGAAUCGUUCGAUCUAUCAUUUCAUGCUAAGGUACAACAGAUUUUAUAUGAUUAAACAAUAAACUUUACAAGCCGAAAGGGGGGAGAAAGCCAUUCUUUUUACUAUGGUUGUAUCGGCCUAAUUCAAUAGCCUAAAGGGCCAUUUUAUUUCUAAGUUCGAGAAAUCAUCCUCACUCAAUUAAAACCUAAGGGUCACUCUACUCCGAGUUCGAGCAAGUACUCACUUGAUUAAGACUACACUAGUCCGGCUUCGGUCUAGUUGCCUAUAGUCUCAAACUUAUGAGCAAAAUCUCCAUAAGGCAUAGAGGCAUGAAUGAAAUAGAAUUUUCACGGGGGUAGGAAAUAGAAUAAAGACAAGUCAAAAAGAAAAAAAUCUUUUAUAUAUAUAUACGAAGAUAUUUACAAGGACCGAUCAGGGUCCCGCACAAAAUAUCAAAAAAGAAAAAACCUAAGAUUCCUAAUUUUCCUCAGGGGCAUCUUCUUCUCCAUCGAGGUCCUCCCCAUUCUCGGACCCGCUCUUGCUGCCAUCAUCAUUAUCAUCAUCGGAAGAGGCCAACGCUCUAGCAUCGGCUUCAUGCUCUCUAGCCUUUAUUAUCUCAUCGGUAAGAUCAAAACCUCGAGCGUGGAUCUCCUCGAGGGUUUCCCUCCGAUAUUGGCAUUUGGCGAGUUCAGCAAUCCAAUGUGCUCGAGUUUGAGCGGUCUCGGCUGCCUCUCUCGCUUGGACUUGAGCGGCUUCAGCAUCGCCCCGGUAUACGGCCACGAUCGCCUCUACCUCGGCCUUUGCCUUUUCGGCUUAAGAGUUAGCCUUUGCAAGUUCGGAAGCCAACCGAGCCUCGAGAUCCUCUAUUUUUUUUUUGCCUGAGCUGAGCUCUUCUCCUUCAUGCCUCGGAGCUGACUUUCGACCGACGACAAUUGGGCUCGAGCAGCCUCUUUUUCAGCAGCAAAGCGGUCCAUACUUUCUUUCCACCCCAAGGUCUUCGCCUUCAUCAUGUCGACAUCCUCGCGAAAUUACUCGAUCCUCUCGACCUUCUGCUGUAGCUGUGAUAUUGAAAUAUUAGCCACUGUUCCCGAAUCGAGCUCUUGAGAUUUUAAGAUUUUCAUUACCUGCUCGAUUAGGUCGGUCUGAUCUUUGUGAGCUGUGGCCAACUCGGCUUGGAGGUCCUUGAUCUUUUUUUCUUUUUGCCCACCGAGAAGGUUGAGGGCAUUCCUCUCCUCGGUAAGCUUUUGAAUGUCGGCCUCGUACCGACUCAGCUCAGCUUGAGACCGAAAAAAUGCUUCCCAAUGAAGUGCUGAGGCCUACGCAGAAAGAGAAAAAGAAGUUAGACACGAAAAGAAAAAUGAACACAAGGGUAAUACCAACAAAGGGAGUUAAGGCUUACCCGAUUCAGAGCUUGUUGCGCUUCGUUGAAAAGGCUCGAUGUCUUGCCCGAGUCCUUCCUCGAGACCUCCAAGUCAUUCAGGCCGAUAGCAUCUUCGACCCCCGUAAAGUAAUCACGGAUGGGGUCCUCCCUUCCUUGGGCUCCUUCGAUGGAGGGGGUCUUCAAGGCCCGAGCCUCUUGAAUCAUCCCCUCAGAAAACGAGGGGAGCAGCGGGGAGCCUCCAAUUUCUAUUGCCCCAAGUAGAUCACUUGGUGCGUUCUCUCCAUCUCGAGGGGCCUCGAGACCAGUCCCUACAGCCGUACCCACCGUUGGCUUAUUAUGGUGGGAGGCAUCUUCAAUCCUCGAUAACUCGGGGACUUCGCCCAAGUCUCUUCCCGAGACCCCCUCAUCUCGAGAUGGAGUCUCUGCAGCCUUCACCGAUUCAGUGGCCUUUGGGGCCUCGGUGCUCAUUUCCACUCGGGCCACCAGCCCGGAGUCGUCUUCUUCCUCUUCUUCGUCUUUCUCCCUUAGACGCCGGACAGAGUCUUCGGUCAGAAGGAUGACGUUUUUCUUUGGCUUACGAGCCUUCUUCUUCUUAGGUUCUGGAUCCUCGGAGGUUGAGGUCUUUUUCCUCUUUUUUUCCUUAGCCGGUUUCGAUGUCAGGAUCGAAGUCUCCUCCUCACCAGAUAGGGGCCUCAUGACCGCAUCCUUGCCCAGGCCUGUACACGAGAAAAUUGAAUAAGUAGAAUAAAUGCAUCUUAAUCGAAUCAUCAAAUAUACAAAAAAAAUGGGCUUACCAUGAGUCUUGGCCUCCCAUCGGCCCUUUGAUAAAUAGCGCCAUGAGCACUCGGCGUAUGUAGAGGUCAAGGCCAGGUUCCGAACCCAACUCUUGAGGUCGGGAAUCACAUGGGGCAUUCAAGUGACCGCUACAUCAUGGAAAAAGACAUCGAUGAGAAAAGACAAAGGAACAAUAAUACAUGGAAGCUAACAGUGAGACAGUACUUACGAUUCAUGUUCCAUUUCUUCGGAAAUGGAAUCUUCUCGGCUGGGACUAGGUCAGAAGUCCUCACUCGAACGAACUAGCCCAUCUAGCCUCGAUCCUUGUCCUUGUCUAUGCUCGAUAACAACACUUUGGUCGCCCGACAUGGAGUUUUAUUAACCUGCCUCGAUAGAGGCGGGGGCUAUACAAUAUAAUAAGGUGAUAGAGGGUGAAAGGGAGCCCCUCGAUUUUGCUCACGAAGAAUCGGAGCAGAAUAACAAUUCGCCAAAAGGAAGGAUGGAUUUGGCCUAGGGUAAUUCGAUAUUGAUGGCAAAAAUUAACGAUGACAGGGUUGAGGGGGCCCAGUGUGAAAGGGUAAGUGUAAACACUUAGAAAACCUUCCACAUGGGUGGUGAUGUCUUCUUCGGGGGUCGGGAUCACCACCUCUUUGCCCUCCCAGUUGCAGUCUUUCUUUACCUGCUUAAGGUAUCCCUCAGUUAUCGAGCAUAUAUACCUUGACACUGGCUCGCAUCGAUCAGGAAUUGACGAGGCUUUAUCUAUCUUGAAAUCGGAGUUUAGUGCGCACCCCCCAAGAAUGCAUUCCUCAAGACGGGGUUCCACCGACGUUUUCCCGUUGGCCGGUUGGGAAGAUGAAGCAGGUUCUUUUUGUGGUACCAUUUUUGAUGUUUUUGCCAUUUUGUGUAAGUUUAAAGGAGAGGAAGAUAAUAGGACUUAGCGUUUGAGAAAGAAUUAACAGCAAAACCUAAAGAUUUGUAAAAGGGAAGAACUUAAGAGAUGUAAAAGUUUUGGAGAUUAGAAGGAAGUGAAAGUAAUGUUUGAAUCAAUGAGGAAGGGGUCUAUUUAUUGGAUUCACGGCGACGAUUCAAAGGCACUAGUGACCGACCACCAACUGACACUCAUUAAUGACUUGGGGAGCUGUACCGACGGGACGUUUCGGUCACUUCCGUCGCUUACGUCACGACAGUGACAUCAUGGCAGGCUGAGGUAAAAAUCAAAGACUCAAUUCGUUUCUUGUCAUUACACUCUAAAAAAUGAGGGGACUAUCUGUAUACGAUUAAAACCGAGCCCACCCAAUUUUUCUAUCUGACCGGGACGAGGGAGCUGCAUCGACGGUCAGCCCCAUAGUGGAUCAGAUCAAGGUACGAGGACAAAGUACCAAGUUCGGGAUUCAAGGUACCUGUCGAGAUCAAGGCCAGCAGCGAUCGAGACCGAAUAAGGCAGGCAUCGAGCAAGAUCGAAGAUAACAUAAUAACGGAAAGGCGAAAUAUCCGUGACUGGUCGAAGAUCAUGGCGGAAAUCUCGGAACAGAUCAAAUUAGGAACGGUUAAUUAGCUAAUCAUGGGAUUUUUUUUCUGUAAUUAGAGUUAUACCAUAAGUAAAAUUCCUCUACUAUAUAAAGGAGAGUAUUAACCAUUUGUAAGGACACAUUGUUCUCGCAUAAAAAAGCCAAUAUAACACUUUCUCUUUAGCUUAUACUUUCUUGUUCAUCAGCUUGCUUUAUUUUUAACUGUUUUGGUAUUAAUCAGUUCGAGGGGACCAUAACUCGAGGGUUGAAUCCCGUUUCAACACUGGUUCGCUUUACUUUAUAGUUCAUUUAUGUUAUUAAUCUUCAUAUUUAUUAAUUGGUAUUGAGUGAAAUUACGUGUCCUUAGAACCACAUUAUAAGUUCAAUUGUUAUCCAAUUUUAAGGGUAAACAAUAAUGUAAUUGAAACACUUCUGAUAUAGGCAAAGUUUCAGAGAUGAUAAACUAUACCACAAAGCGUGAAUUCUAGUUUAAUGUCUUUUCGAUAUCUUCAUGUCUUAUAUGAGCAAAUGUUACUGCUGCAUUGAAAUUGCGUACGUGAAUAAAUGAGUGACAACGGAAAUGCUAAAGAUGUGAAGAUGGAACCUGAAAUACUGACGGGUCAUUUAACCUAUGCAAUAAGAGUGCCGAAAUCAACAAAAAGGGCUAUAUAAGGGGGACAUUGGUGUUUAGAUCAUUAUAAAUGUUCUUUUAGAUAAAUAGUCUUUUCAAGGAAAGACCGGUAAAAUAUAACACAAGGAAUCAUAGAAUAAAAACAUAAUAUCUUUCUAAGAUUAUUUUCUUCUAUUCAAACUAUAACCGCUCAUAGAAUUCAUUUCCUUUGCAAAAGGGCAAAGAAACAAAAGGGCUGAAAAUCACCCUUUGUAAAAUGAAUUGAUAUUAUUCUACACUAUAAAUGAAUAGAUCUUAAACAACGUAUCAGAUAUGAAAAAGAUGCUUCUUUAUAUAUUGUAAGUAUACUAGUUUCUCGGCACGUGCGUUGCACGUAUAUGCCAAGUCAAGUAAUAUAUACUUUUGUUAAAUAAUAUCAAUAUUAUUAAAAUAAGUUUUUGAUAAAUAAUAAUACAUAAAAGAAUAAAAUAUAAGUUUUUGCGCGCGUAUAACUUAUAUGAAUCAUCGUAAAGUGACUUGUUUUGUCGAAGUAAAGAGAGGCGAAAGCCAAAUUAAAUUUUUUUGUUAAUUCAAAGCGAGGUGGGGCGGGUCAUAAAUGAGGGUGGUUUUUAUUUUAUUUUAUUAAAUAGGUGUUGACCAAGAUGAUAGCAAUGAAAUUUGAAUCCAAAAUCACUUGUCAUGUUGAAUUGUAAUAAUAUCUCAUGUACAAACUUAAACAAUUAGAAAGUACACUUUUAAUUUUUGUAAUUACUCCAUAUAUUAUUUUAUCAACACUAUAAACUCACCUCUAUAUAUGGAGCAUGGAGGUCUCCCAUUAUUUAUGGAGAGGCGCACAUGCAAACAAUAGUAGUAAUGUUUGUUAUGGAAAUAGCAAGGAGUUCAAAUUGGUUUUAGAUUUGCAACUUAAGAUGUAGCAGUUCUUCAAACCAACAAAUGAUGUGAAGUAUUACAUCUCUUGGCGGACUAAGAUUUUUCAUAAGGAGAUUCAAAAAUUACAUGGUACAACUAUAGUUAAGGCGAUACCAUGGAUUAUUUUAGGCUUUUUUGUCUCUUUUUUAAGUAGUUGGACAAAAAAACAUUAAUGCAUGAUAUCAUUAAAAUAAUACGAACAAUAAAUUUCAAGUUUCAACACUUAAAUCGAAAAGUACAUUAAAAAUUAAAAUUUUUAAUUGUAUAAAUUAUAACCGCACAAAUAAUGUAACAAAUUUAAACGUUAACAAAGAAUUGUACAUUUUGAUAAAUUUUACUUUGAAAUUUUUGCUCUAAUUUGUUAACUUCAAAUAUUUUAAACUUUAACAUACUUAAAAAAUACCGAAUAAUCUCUUUUGCAGGACAAACAAAAGCAAAUUUGUAACAUAAAUAUUAAGCUAACUUUAAGCAAAAAGAAAAGAGAGCUAGGAAGUAAAUAAAACUAACAAAGUGUAAUAGGAAAAAAAAAGUUAUACAAUAGUCUUAUAAUUAUAAUAUAACAUAUAUAAGAAAUUUAAAUAUAAACUAAGUUAAACUAUCCUAAAAUAAUAAAUGUAAGUCAACAAUAUUUUGCCAAAAAAUCACAAAUUUCUUUGAAAGUAUAUAAGUUAUUAAUGAUUUAUCUAGUAAACCACAUACGUGCAAUGGGCUUAUUGUUUUUAUUUGCUCAACAACAAAAAAUCAAUAGGACGCUUCUACAUUUAAUAGUAAACAUUAAAAAACUCAUAAACUAUUACAUAAGUCCAGAAAAGAAACAUGAUGAACUAACUACUCAUGAAGUAUAUGGGAGAAGUGUCAAGCCAGGUUUAUAUGGAAUCGAUAGGGAAAUCUUUGAGAAAGCAUAAGGCAGUAUAUCUCGGGAUAAUUUUGUAAAAAAUGGAGAAAACUUGAGCAGACAUAGGCUCUCGCAAUAACUUCACAGGAUGUUUGAAUCCACUCGAUCAUUAUUCCACGAUUUUCGCAUUUAUCAAGCAGAUUCAUUAGCAAUAUUUGUCUUUUCAAAUAUUACUUAUAGCGAAGCGGAUAUAAUUGAACCCGCUCCCUUCAACGCUGGCCCUCUCCUCCUUCAACGGAGUAAAUCAUGCAAGAGAAAUGUGUGUAAGAAUGGUUGAAUAUAAUGUUUACCCACACUUUGAUUUCUUCUAGAAUAGAAACUCGACGCAUAGAAAAGAUGGAAAAACUCGUCAAGUAAUUUAAGAAGAACGGUGAAUUAGCAAAGGUGACAGAAAUAUGUAUUUGGUUAAAAGCCUAAUAAUUCUGUUAUUUCAUUUUACACUUUAACAGCAAGAGACACGACAAAAUUUCUUUUUUCCUUCAAGGCAACGGUUGAGUAAGGUUUUUCCAAGCCACCGGUUAAAACUAAUUGGAAAAAACCUUUAGUUGUUAAUGAGAACAAACACAACUUUUUAGAAAAGUCAUUUAAAUCAAAUCAUUUUUUUCUUUUAUUUAAAUAUUAUUUUUAAUAUACAGUAUUAGGGUAUUUAGCAAAAAAUAUAAGAGGGGUAUUUAUAUAAUUUGACUUUUAAGUUUUAGGCUCGGAGUAUAGAAUAUCUCUUCUCGUACUGUAUAUAAGUUUAAUUAAUCAUAAUGUGUCCCACAUCGAUAAACAGACAAAACUGUAGGUGAUGUGGUUAGCAUAAAGGAGUGAGGUUAGAGGCUUUGAAAAUUAUGAUCCUUCAGGCAAGUUUUAAUGGGAUAUGAUGAGUGGUCAAAACUCGCAUUUAAAUAUGCGAGAUGGGUGUCCAGCCCAGCCUGGUUACGACAAACCAUAGGCACUCUCUUUUACCUAUCUGAUCCCUAUUCUUCAACAAAAUAUUGCCCCCUCCCUCCCUCCUCCACCCCAAAAAACUUAUUUAUGUGUUAGUUGGUAUUAUAUUGUUAAUUUUGUUUUCAAAAUGUACAUUUGUUACCUUUUCUUUUUCUUUCCAGUUUAACUAUAGGGUACACUUUAAAUUUGACAUCUUAAUCAAUACUUAUCUAGGGGUGUUAAAUUAUGUAUCUUAUACAUAAUUAAAAUUAUAUUUUUUAGAAUUUGUAUGUUAUUUUAUUAUACCUAACUAAAAUUAGACUUUUUGAAACUGUCUCUUUCAUGUUAGUUUUUUUUUGGAUAGGACUUAGCAAAAUUCUCUAAAUAUUUUUACUAUUUAAAGAGUGUUGGAAUAAGAAAACAUGAAAUAUGAGAGUAUCUAUCAACUAUUCUAUAGCAUAAAAUAAACUAAACAAAGACAAGAAAAUAUAAAUCACACGAGUGGAAAGAUAUUAACUAAGUUGGGCCUCAAGAAUAAAGUAGAAGAUUAAAUAUUUAAAAAGAUAAAUCUAAAUCAUACGAAAGAAAGCAUAUUCGAUACAUUGGAAAUAAUAUGGUUUCAAUAGGAGUAAUAUAAUAGGUUUGGAAAUUAGAAUACGUGUUGACUAGUAUCCGUUUUUAUAAUUUCAAGGCCCAAGAAAAAUCUUAAUGUAUUUUUUUUUAAACUUAAUAUAUAAAUAUAUUUUUUGCAUGUAAAUUUAUUCGAUAUGGUUCAGUAUUUUUUUAGUUUAUUUUUAUAAACUUAAAAACCUACCUUAAUUAUCGAUAUGAUUAUAGAUUUAAAUAAAAACCUAUAAUUUUAUUAAAAGAAACUAAAAAUCAAUCUGGUACGGUACGGUUAGUCAAUUUUUAAAUAUCAAUUGACACACCUAAUACUAUCUCCUCUGCUUCAGUUUUACUUGUUUACUAUAUUAUAUUUUUACUUUUACUUGUCAAUUUUAAUAUUAUAUUUUUUUUUUUAUAUUCACUAGUAUAUAAAGGACAAAAAUAUUACUACUAUCUAAGUUUUUUCCUCCAAAAGUGGACAAUUAAAAUUGAACGGAGAGAGUAUUUCAUUUCAUUAAUUUAUAUAAUAGCAUGGAAAGCAGUAUCGGCUUAACACUAGGAAAAAACCCUGUUUUUUUCAUUAAACGAACUACAUGUAGAGAGAGCUUCAGCUUAGCACAGAAAACAGAAGAAAUUUACUACUACAAAACCCAGUUACACCACUAGCUCUCAUCCUUAAACAGCCAUCUUUACUAGCCAUGAGUGGUUGAACAAGGAAAUAUAAUCUUAGAAAUCAUAAAGAUUUAUAUUAAAUUAUUGCCAUUUGCCACCCUUAUACGAGACUGUACAAGAGAUUGAGUUAAGUAACCAAGAAUCAACAAAAUAAUGAACCCUUUAACUUGAGAUCUUGUUUAGCAGCUCAAAAUGUUGGUUCUAAUCCAUCUAAUACAUCCAAAACAUUAGCCUUUGCAUGUUUUAACCCUGUCUGUGGAGAAGUACCAGCGCUUCUACUUCGAGCCAAGACCUGUUUCGUUCGCUUCUUGGGCAUCACUAGUUCCUGGCUUUUGCUUAUUCCAGGAACCAACAUUCCCCUCUUCAUUACCUCCUCCAAUAAGUUCCUAUCUUCCAAAGAGAGCUGCACGUUAGAUGUUUUCGUGUCAUUGUUCAUCAUCUCAGUAUGCAAAACCAGUCCUUUGCGCGGUGAUCUUUCAGGUAAAGCCUUAGGUUCAUCAUCUCUUCUCAGGCUGGUGAUGCGAUGAAGCAACGUGACUAGUUCAAUGAUAUGCUGGUCCAUCUUUCGUUUGUCUGCAUGAUAGAGAGUCUGCAACCGAAUUAUGUUCUUGUGUGUAGGAGUCUUCUUGCCAGAAUUGUUUCUGCUGGGAAGAAACAACCACUAUUAUGUUACUGAAGAAUGGUGUCAAAAUGAACAGAAAAAAUUUGUUUGGGAGUGGGGAUAAGGGGUUUUAUAACACAAAUAAAUGCAACUGACCCAGUAUUAGCCCACUCUCCAACCCAGCCGAAACCUUGAUGUGCUCUGUUAUCCGGUUGACAGCAAAGAUGCAAAAGAAUCAGUAUCAAAACAUGAGAAAACUAGGAGAAAACAAAAGGCACAGUUUACACUUGGUUUCAACAGAUAAAACACGAACACCAAACACGUACCGUAUAGUAUAUGUAGCUACUGGGACAAGCCACUGGAGAGUUUUUCCUAUUUCUGCUUUGAGUUGAGGAAUUGUGAGCUGCAACAAGGACAAUGAGAAGGACCUAUUUUACAUACAUAUACCACUUUAUGCAGAAUUAAAAAAAAUUACGAUAUCCGCCUCUGAUGAGAGCAAAAGGGAGGAGGCAGGAAAAAUGAAAUAUAAGAUAUAAUGGAUGAAAAUAGAAACAUAAGAAGAAAAAUCUGGAUACAAACCUCUUCCUUGGUGACUGCCUGCAAUCGAGAACGAAGGGCUGUCUUUACGGUGGGGGGCAAUCCAUUAUAUAACGAAUCCCUCAUGUUAUGAGGAACGGAAGUGGGGCGUAAUGCCUGAUAUAAUAUCAAAUCCCAUUGUAACAAAUACUAUUUGCAUUAUAGUCCUAGGAGACUAAUUGAGCAGAAAAUACUUACAAUGUUAUCUAUUUGAGUAAUUAGGUUAGCAUAGUGUAGAGCAAGACCGGCUUCUCCCAAUCUUUCUGGUUUCCUAGUAGGCUCCUUGCCAAAAGAUGCCAACCCUACAAAAAGCAUAGACAUUUUAUUUCAUAAAAACAUCUAUACUGCAGGAAAGUAGAGAAUAAAUGUGCAUAUGUGCUAGUUAUAUAAACGAUAUAAGAGUAAGAAACAAACAAAAUGUCAACGCACUAAACAAUUGAAAACAUGACACAUUGAACAUUUAAGAGAAGGAAAAGCUUCAAAAAUACACUACUACUGGGUAUCUUAUGCUCUUGCAAGCAGUAACCUGAAAACACCAUUUCGAUCAGUUCUCAAGGUUGAAGAUAAUCAUUUGCAUACCUUUUCUUGUUCCUCUUCUUUUUGCCUGUUCUUUUUUUGUUUAAUUCAACUCACUUCUGCCUAUGGCCUAUAAGAAUUGAUGUAUUUGAGGUUUCAGGUAGGACAAAUAUAUAUAUCAUUAUUUAGGGAAAUGCGUAAACGAUCUGACAAAUUCUUGCUUUGGUUGUAACUUUUAGCAAGAUAUGAUGUUUAUAGCUAGAAAUGAUGUAAAAAAGAUAUUUUUUCUUAGAUAACUGAACAGACGUAAAAAAUCUUAACGCGGCAGAGUUAUAAAUCCAGCUAAAUUAUUAUUAGCAGGAUUUUAACCUAAAUAUAGUUUCAUUAGUAAGAGACGAAUUUAGGACCUCUGGUACAGGACAAAGUAAGAUAUCCUUAGCUUGGGAAACUUCAGUAAUACCAAUGCAAUCAGACUUAAAUCUGGAGUUGUUUGUGACAGAGAUUAUUCUGAAGUACUCAUUGAAUUUAGAGAACAAUUCAAGCAGUAGGAUUCUCUGGCUUCAGGUUGAAAAGAAAGCAUGGCUCUUCUUACUGGAUAUAAAGAAACAAUUCAAGCAAAAAGGAGUCUUUGACUUCACGUUGAAAAGAGAGGCAUGCACUCCAAUCUACAUAUACUAAGUUCGUGUUAGUUGGUUCCAAAUCCUUUCAUGCUCACAAAAUGAAACUAAUCUUACUGUGAUCAUAUUUUUCUUUGGGUUUAUAUUUUUUCUCAAGUCAAUAUAUGGCUUUGGAUGUUUAAUUCUAUAUGGCUAGUCCAAACUUUAGGGGUUUAGAGUCUCAAUUCCCAGAUUAGCAAACACCAGUGACGGGUUUGACAGCAAUAGAUAUAUUAAGUACUCUAUGACCACAUCAUGGGUGGCAAAAGCAUGCAAAUAUUAAUAAAAGCCACAACUGUGCAAUGUUUACAAAAUUACUGGACAUUCUCAUACCGUCAUCCCCAAAUGCUUCUGAGAUCUCUUGAUGAAUAAAAGUAACAACGUCAACAAGCUUCUCCACAACCUACAAGGAUGAAACAUGCGGCCCUUAUAAAAAAAGGAUGAAAUAUGGGUAAAAGUGAGUACUGUUAAGUCCAUAACAGCAUUUGAAAAGCUGAAGACACAUUUCCAUUUCAACUACUAAAGACAUGACAAAAAGCUUGGUACCCGGAGGAGCUUAAACAAUUUCUCAAGUAAAUUUGAAACAGUUUCCCACUGACAAUGAUCCUUAUGAUUUUCAUUAAACGAAGUCAAUGAAGUCUAAUCUCAACUGAAGCAUACAUUGAAAAGGAAGCCAAAAUGAUAUUCGGUCAAAGUACCUCCUCCAGACUCUUGAACCAAAGAGACUUCUUUUUCAUUAUCCUCACAGUUUUUCUUUGAUGUUUUAGCUCACUUUGUAACAUCAUGAGACCUUCUCCUACAAGUGAAGGAAAGCAAGUAAUCUGUCAAUUUUAAGAUAAUUCACCACAUGGUAUCAAUUUAACAAACACAAACAAAAAAGCUAGGAGGUUAUUAGAAGAAGCGAAACUUAGGAAUAUCCUUCUUGUCUUCCAAUUGACUUAAUGUAAAAAACAAAUGAGAAUAUUAAUGUCAACUUGGAGGAAUCCUCGGGAAUAAACAUUGACACCUUACAUCCAACUUAGUAAAACAGAAUAUCAUUGAAACAAGUUAAAUGACUUCCCAAAACUAGAGACGUAUAAUUUGGAUACACGAAUAACGAUCCCAUGCUUUUUUGCUUGCAUCAUAUGGAACGUGAAAGUUCUUUGCAAUUAUACUGGAUUGUCUUAUUAAGUCAAAAAUCAAAAAUCUUCUAAAGAGGAGAAUGUUACUGGAUCAUGAAAUGACAUGUCUCCAUAAUAAAAUCAUUUAAUAUUUUGCGUGCAAUUUAUUCUUAAUUGAUUCAUUAUUUAAAGUGUCAUUUUACCUGACUAUUUCUACUUUGACACAAAAGAGAAGUAUUAGAUACAUAAAUUUGGAUCAAGGUGAUGAAAUCGAGUUGUAUGCGCUCUCUGAAUGAUAUAUUGCUACUUGAUAUUGUAAAUUUGACUUGUAAAAUUUAAUCUUCGAUAGAAACUACGAGUUAAGUUUAACGACAACACAAAAGUCGAUCAUUUCUUCCACUAAAUUUGCAUUCAACGCUUCUCCCAGGAGCAUUGUUAAGAAGUAAGACAAUACCACAGAAAAUAGAAGUAAAAUUGUGUAUACCUUUGGGAGGCACUUUUAAAAAUUUGAUUUCCUCAAGAUUCCUUCGAUGAUCCUGUUCAAAUCUAUCCAGCGCAUGCAGCUCAUGAUACAAUUCCUGCAAAGAAAUGAGAAGUCACAUGAUCAACACUGCAUAUAGAAUAGAUACUAUACGUUAACCAAAUCCUUGUAGAGAAAACAUCACUUCAAUUGCCCCAAAAUCAUGUUACAAAAAAUGCCAACUGACCACAUGAUGGUCUAUCAUCAUUUCAUCAGGGACUAACAUAUAUAAGUAAAUAAACAAAUAAGUUACAUCAGCAAAUAUGUAUUAGGUUAAUCCACUAAGGCAUUGAGCUGCUUAUCUAGCACUGCUGUCAAUAAAGCUGAAAAUGAGCGCUGUCUAUUAGAAUAUUGCGGCUCAUGUUAUUUUAAGGCCUAUGGGAGGAAAAUGUUGAUAGAAAGAACAAAGAAAGAAAAAACUCCUUGUAUUUUAAGAACAAAAACAUAUAGAAAGGUAAAGACAUCUCAAAACAAAAGAAACAUACAGAAGUAUGCUGAGCCAGAGUUAUCAGUUCCUGCAUUGCCAUUUCAGCCUGUGCUUUUGGCUGUUUAUGAGUAACAGUGUCCAUGUCUAACCUGUCAAAUGGUUAAACCUUCUCAUAAACAUAUUUACUGAUAUAUAAUUGCAACAGUUUCUGACUCCUUUAGUAAAAACAUCUCAACUUACUUGGAAAAAUAUCGACCAAGAUUGUGCCAUUGUGGGUCUUUGCACAUAUCUCCAAAUCUGAUGACUUCACGAGAGAAAACAGCAAAAUCCUCCCUGCGGAAAUGCACAUACAUAUUUUCACCAAUGCUUUCAGUGCUCGGAGAAUUACACCCAGAACUUUUCCACUAUAUUUUAAUUCUAAAAGUUACAUACUUCUAUUGAUGUAUUUUCCGGUACCUUGAACUUUGAGCUGUCAUAAUUUUAGGUUGAAAUAGUAUAAGGAAUAUUUUCUUCAUUAAGAUGCUGUUAUCAAUUCAAAAACCUUAGUAGAGAGUAUUUAAUAAAUUUUCUUUUGAUUCAAAAAUACUAGAGACACGCAUGUGUAUAUGAUUCAUCUCUUUCAGGUCUUUAUUAUUUUUAUAUAAUUCAUUUCUUUCAUUUUAGUUUUGUUACUGUUUCCUGAAGAGUGGAUAGUUAAUCACUAACCUUUUGUCAUCAGCAGCUAUAGUAAGCAGCUCUUUCAUAUUAGUAGAAACCAACUGUUGCACACCUUUUGAAGGAAGAACUUCCUUCUUUAAAUACCGGACACUUUCUUCAGAAAGAGAUUGCAAUAAAUUUGCACCUUUGGUGAUAGUAUUCGCAAUUUCAAAUGCAAGAAUAGAUAUUUUGUUUUCUCGAGAAGCCGUGCCAGUCAAGAAGCCUCCAGAGUUCAAAUUUAUCAUGCUGCUGCCAAGUGUAUCUAAAACUUCUACCGCCUUUUCUAGGCCAACUGUACUGGCUUUUCCAAGAAAAGAGCUCGGGGCCUAUUAAAAGAAUAAUUUUGUCUUGUUAUCUUACUUUAUUGCGUGCAAAAUAUACAAAGAGAGUUUCACAUGAAUAAGAAAGACAAAGCAUUACCAGGAAAAUGACAGUUGUUCAAACAUUGGACUUGCUUCCAAUGAUAUCAGUAAAAGAACAGAAAACAGGUGCCAAACGACCCACCCACAUGGAUAUUUCCAAAGUCUUUGUUAUAUAGAACAAGACUCCCCGGGUACGAACAAACAGCCAUAGAAUUCAGACUUUUAGUUCUAGUGUCUGUUCGUCAGUCAUACCGCUAAUGAAAAUAACACAAUGGUCAACUUCUAUUAUUAAGUAAGUACAUUAGUAAUCUUAAUUAGUAAUCACACCUCUUUAGGGUGCGGCCCUUCCCAAGACUCUGUGUGCACGGGGGUUGCCCUUUUUAUUAGUAUUGUUAAUUGCCUCACUUCAAAUUUCAUUUGUCAAAAGAACUUAUCAGAUGCUUAACCAUUGAUCUUGUUAUCCUGUGUUUAUGCCAGACAACUUUAGCCUAAUGCUUUCCAAUCAAUCUCGUUCCACUAAACAAUCCAAAAUCAAGCUUUCGUAGAUAUGCAUUGAUAUACUCACCCUUUACAUAUUAUGAGCAGUUGAAAAUUUUUGAGGAUUAGCAUAAUAAAUACAGGUUCCCUCUGUAACAGUUUAAACUUUUAAUGAGGUGGUCAUGAUUAAACAGAUACAAACAGACAGAUGGGCUAUGUCUGAAUCCUGCCAUCUCCUGUCAUUAAAAAUAGUUUCAUGUGCUUGGCCAAUUAAAAUUAUCAAACAAGUGAGAGGACAUGUUGAGGAAUAAUAUUAAAAAUAAGAAUGUCAUUCACUGACAAUUUAAGCGUCUAACAAGGCCACACAAUUUCAACAACCGUGCAUAUGUAUAUUUCUUCUUUUAUCCUUUUAUGCCAUGAUAUCUUUCUCUUUGAUGAUGUUCCUCUAGCAUUACAAUCUAUAUUUCUUCCUUUUUCCUUUAAUGCCAAUAUAUCCUAUGAAGCUAUCUUAAAUUUUUGCAACUACUGACAAAUCUGCUGUGUUCUGCCAAAAGAAUCGCAACAAUGAAUGUUGUGAAUAUGACAGAAUGUUUACAAAGGUGAGCAAACGCAGUCAGUUUUACCACAAGAAGUUGGAUUAUAUCAUCCAUAUAUGAAGUGCUUUUCUCUUUGAAUAUGUUGAGAGAACUGUCCAACUUCCAUUGUUCAUCUGUUUCUUCUUACAGAGUAUAGAUCAUAAUCACUUCGACAAAAUCUAACUGCUUUCAGUUACCAAGAGCAGUUUCAGUUGCCACCGUGGCGCAGAACAUCUAAAGGCAUCAGACCUGUUAUUACCUCAAACUUCCAGAAACCUUAAAGGCUGUUAUCCCUCUAGAAUUCUGGGUGUGGAGGGAUACCUAAGCUUAGUUAGUUAGACAUGCUUAGGUUUCAUUUAUCAGCAGAAUUAACCGGACAAAUAGCUCCACCAACUAAGAAGGCUAAACCACUAUCCAUAACAAAAACCUCAGCCGCAUUAUUCACCUACUCGUGUAGUUCAAUUCCUCUUUAUCCAACCAUUUGUUUCACUUCAGACUAAUCUUGCCAGCUUUCUAACACCCCGUAAAGGGCAACAUCACAAAAGGCAGAAUCUUCGACUCAAAAUUAAAUAAAUAAAAACCGUGACAACUAAUUGCUUCCUUCAAUCUAGUUUCGUGAUAUCAAUCAAGUCAAGAAAGGGAAAAAGGGAAUUUACGAUCAAGCGUGCAAGAUUAGGCCGCGAUAAUUAAAAAAAAAGGGAAUGAAACAAUCAGAUAACCAUUGCUUAUACCAACUCCUAGAAAGCAUCCAAAUACAUAUACAUUGAUUAAGUUAACAGAAAAAAUGGUGGUACCUUGUUAGCUCCUGUCCUAGUAGGUGGAGAUGGCCUUAACUCCCGGGAAAUAGACAAACACAACUCACCAGAAUCAUAGAGAUUCGGCGUCUUACGAAAACCAUCCUUAUCAGGACAUGAAGUAGAAGAAGAAGAAGAAGAAGACUCAUUCUUUGGCUCUUCAAAACUCUUGAUUGACUUGAGCUUUUCAGAAGAACCUGAGCUCCUCUCAUGGUGAAUUUCUGCUCUAUUUCUCGCUGUUCCACCUGUACAAACACCUCCCAUUUUUGCUCCUUAGAGCUAAGAUGGGAGAAAAAAAUCAAACUCCUUAAACCUGACCUCCUACACCUAUCAGCAAGAAAGGGAAAAAAACAUCAUCAGCACACACACAAGUGGCAAAGCCAGAAAUUGAAGUAAAAACAUUUCCCAUAAUAUAUGCUAUAUACAUCUAAAAUUAAUAUUUUACUUAUUUCCCGCAAUAUAUGUAAUUUUUCGUAAUAUUUCAACGAAGGAUGGUCAAUUCUCAAUUGACCAUCCUUAGCAAAUGGUGGCUUCGCCCCUGACCACACACACAAAAAAAAAGAUAAAAAAACAUCAAAGUUACUCAAUUUGAUGAAUUUAAAAAUAAGUCAAAAAAGGGCAUAAAUCAAUCUAACUGUCUUAAAUUUCAAACAAGUUAGACGUCGAUUACACGAAUCGUGUUAUUCAUUCUACUCAAUUUGGGUCCAUUUUAUUCCAAGAAACAUAAAAGAGUAAACAUCAUUGCCCCAAUCAAAAGCUCAUAAAGAACUAAAAAGUACUCCAAUCAUAUUUUCUUGGAUUAAAACUACCACCAAGACUAAAUUGUACUCCAUUUUCAACUUAUUCAACAUAAAAGAUCAAAAGAGAAACUCUUUUUCUUAUUCAAGCAUUAAAAGGAUGAAAAUAAAGGAAGCUUACCGAGAAUAAGUUCAAAGAAAUGUAAGAGAAGUAGAACAAAAACAUCUGAAGCAGCUGAAUUGAGGUAAAAAAGAAGUGUAGAAUCAUGAAGUAUUUAAGCACUAGAGUGGAGUUAUUUGGGUUUAAGAAAUAAAUGAAAAGGAAUGAAUGGAUGAGUAAAGAAUUAAUGGAGCGUAAUCCCAACAAGAUGUAGUCAAGAUUUCGAGGAUUGUUGGGAUAUGACAGAAAUGAAUUGAGAUUGCCAAUAUUUUUAGAGAAGAUAAAGUUAAACAGUAAAAACAUUUGACUUAAAGACUUUGCGUGCAGAUUUACUUGACGCAUGUACUUGUGAACGGUAACAGAAUUGCUCUAUUAAUUACUUAUUAUGUUCAAAUAAAUACAAGUUAAUCUGGAAAUCACAGUUAAAAUCCAGUUAAAUGAUUUGACCAAACCAAUUAAGUCGGAUUUUCAAAUCUUAAAAUCAAACCAAUCUCAAUUAUUAAGUCGGUUUUUUAUUGGUUCGAUUUAUAUUUAUUUUUUCGGUUUUUGUUUGAUUUUUUAAAUAUGAAACAUACACUACUAAAUAUAUAUUUUAGCAACUAUAUUCCAACAUAACACUAUCAAACUAAUUACUCUUUGAGAAAAUCUGUCAUUUACCGAGAUAUAUUAUUGAUAAUUGAAUUAAAUAGCUUUUGAAAUAAAAUCAUUUGAUGCUUAUUUUUGAAAAUAACGCUCAACAACAACAACAACAACAACAACAACAACAACAACAACAACAACAACAACAACAACAACAACAACAACAACAAUAAUAAUAAUAAUAAUAAUAAUAAUAAAAAGUUUGAAUCGAAUGAAUAAUGUUUAGUGUGAAAUUGAACUUGCUUUAUGAUUACUUUAAAAUAAAUUUACAUAGUUAAGAUUUACACGAGUAGUCUACAUCACAAUUUCUAAGAUUUGGAAUAACUAGGAUAUAUUCGAAAUUUUUUAGUAAAAAAUAUAUUUUGUUGUUAUUAUUACUCUUUCUUGCCCUUUUCAUCUGUCACUUUGACCAACAUUUUUCAUCCAUGAUAUAUGUCAUUUUAGAAGACUAAGAACGCAUUAAUUAUUAUUUGUCAGUUUCACCUUACUAUUCAAAAAAUAUAUAGUCAUUAUUGAUUUAAAGAAGAUGAUAAAGAUAAUUUAGUCGAAUACCCUUUAUGGUUAAUACUAUUAAGUUAAUUAUUUUGCCAAAAUCUUAAAAAAGAAAAAAAAACUAGAAAGAUAACUUAUUAUUAUUCCAUCCGUUUCCGUUUUGUUGUCAACUUUUCCAAAAAUAAUUACUUAAAACACUUAUCAUUUUAAAAAAUCAAGAAAGAGUUUAAAAAAAAUUCAAUUUCACCCUUAGCAUUAACUAUCCAUUUUUCAAAAGAUGUUGGUCAAAUUCAAAAUUUACUAUGCAAGAACUACUUUGAUCUAUGCAACAUUAUUCUUUCAUCUCUUAAGUGAGUUUAAUAAUCUAGAUAUUAGUUACACAGUAAGAGAUGAAAAGUUAAAUAGAGUUAGCUUAUUUAUUGAAAAUAGAUUAAUGUGGUCAAAGAUUAAAGAAUUAAUAAGGAAAGAUUAGUCAAAUAAUUUUUCUUAUUAGUAAUAUUUUCUUGAAGAUGUGUAAAACUCUGACAACUAAAUGGAAACAGAGAGAAUAAUUAAUAGUGCUACGUACUACUAACACUUAUUGUUAUUAUAUACUAAUAAUUAAAAAAAUGUUAUUUGUGUAUUUUAUUGAAUCGAAUUAAAUAAUAUUUAGCAGGUUUUGACCAUAAUAUGCUACUAAUUACUAACGUUCACCACCUUAACUACAAAGUCAUCCAUUAGCCAUCCCCAACUGUCUAUCUCCUAAUUUGACACAUUUUCAACUUUUCAAAAGAAUUACCAGAAGUACAGAUUAUAACUGAUUAAAUAAUUUUUUUUAUUGUUUGACCAAAAAAAAAACUUUUCAAAAUCUUGCUCUUAACCUUUCGUGUCUGCUCUCUCUUUGUUUUUGAUUAUCGUGUUUGGGGUUGAUGAUCAAGUUUUCGCGUCAUUAUUUUCUCCUUUCUUGUUGUAAUUCGUUCUUUACACAAAUCUUGAAAUAAUGAUUUUACGACACAAAUGACAAUUAUUUUAAAAAGUCACAACCAUUUAGUUCAGACACAAGUUAUGUAGAGAUUGUAACACGAAUUGAAAAUAUAUAGAUUAUAAUGUAUGAAUACUUCUUUUUGGAUGUUUAGUUUAUAAUAGUAUACACUAUAUAAUUUAAAAUAUAUAUUCAAAUUUAGAAAAAAACAAAUUUUAUUUAAUAUUAUGAAUAUUAGUUUGGUCACUUUAAUAAUAUUCUUAUCCAUGUAUUAUUAAUACUUAUAUUUUUAAUUUAUAAUUUUCACCAUAUAAAAUAAUAUAUAAACACUAGUAGAAAUUCAGCAAAAACUGACCACGGUCGACCGGUCAAUUUUGGUCGGUUUUCUUUGGCGCAAAAAUGCGGGAAAUAAUUUUUGAGUCCGGCGAAAUUUAUUUUUCAAGAAACCGACCAACUUUGGUCGGUUUUUCAUUUUAAAUAAAUUAAAAUUAAUAUUAAAAAACCGACCGAAAUCGGUCGGUUAAUUCGGCCAGUAAUUUUAAAAAAUCGAUCGAAUUCGGUCGGUAAUUUUAUUUUUUAAUAAAACUGACCAACUUUGGUCGGUUAUUUUCGUGCGAAAAUACAAUUAAAGAGUAUAAAUGAAAUAAAAAAAUAGUUUUAAAACAAAAUGCACCAAUGGUCUACUGGUAGAAUAGUAUCCUGCCACAGUACAGACCCCGGUUCGAUUCCUAGAUGGUGAAUUUUUUAAUUACAUAAUUAAAAUACCGAUCAACUUUGGUCGGUUUUUUCGGUAAUUUUUUUUUUUUGAAUUUAAUUGACCGACCAAAGUUGGUCGGUAAUUUCCGACCAACUUUGGUCGAUAUGCCCUUCCGACCUUCAAAAUACCGUCCACACAUAAAUGAUCGCGUUUUGGACGAUUAUUGGCCAUUACCGACCCACUUUGAUCGGUUAUUUUGGAUGAUUUUGCCCAGAUUUUUAGUAAUGAAAUUCCAACAUAACUUAUAAUAUAUUAUUGCUUUAGUAAUCAAAUUCUAGUUCUAUGCAAAUAUUAAAUUUCCUACCUAGACCAACAAACGACCCCCCAGGCUCAAAAGUUCAAAGUUACCCAUCAACUCUUGAGUAUGGUUUAAAAUUACCCUUAAAUUUGAGCUCUAUUAGAGAUCAAUGACAAAAAUGAGAUUUUGAAUUAACGAACAAUAAGAUUUCUCAAUUUUGAAUAAUAUUGGGUCAAAUUUGACACUUCUCUUUUCUUAUAUAACAAAAAGUUACAUAUAAAAAACUAUAAAAAAAUAUCCUCUAUCAAAGUUGUUUUACGAUAAAAAUAUUUAAAUAUGUACCAAAUAUUUAUAUUUAAAGAACUUAACUCUUCAAUAAUUGUUGUGUCAUAUAAAAUAAAAGAAUUUCAUUAUCAAAACAGAACCUUUUAUUUUCGAAUGACAUUUGUUCUUUUUCCUUGCCUAAACAUGUUUGUUUCUUUUUGAGAACAAAAACGGUAUUGACAAAAUAUAAUACCAAUUCUUUGACAACAAUUUUGGAAACAAUUACAAGUAAAACCCAAAAGCACCCAGGAAUACACAAAGUAAAAGUUAUUGGAAACUAAGACUAGUAUAAUAUCAAAUUUUCACGUGAAAAUUGAAGAUUUCGCGAGUGAAACUAUUAUUUACCCAAAAAAUUCUUCAACUAUUUCCAGACAGUUACUCAUUAUUUGCAAUACUGACAACAAAUCAAUAUUACAACAAAUAUUGAAAUCGAGUAUUCUUUUUAAUAAUAACAUCCCAUGUGGUUAAAUGUAUUUAUUAUUAUUGUUGGCAUCGCAUUGAGACUGAUCGACUCAAAGGGCAUAAUCAAAUUCAUGACGAGCACGACUUGUUUGUGUUCAGGCUAAAAUUAUCAUAAUUAUAUGAGGAUCAAGUUGACAUUAAGGAAGCCUUCGAAGACUGUUAUGUAUCGUCAACAAGAUAUAAUGGUUUGGCUUCAAAAGAUCGAUGUCACGAGAAAACAACACAUUAUCGACGAGGUCGAGGCGGCUCAACAGAGGACGGAGACGAGGAUGUGCACUCCCUUUAAUAAAACAGUAAUAACUAGUUUCGUGGUUAUGGUUCCCCGGAGAAUAUUUCUCCCAUUUGUACUAUUUAGGGUUUUGUGACCCAUGUACUCUUAUAAAUAGAAAGAUAUGUAUUUAUAGAGGAAAUUGGACAUUCAUUGUAAAAAAACAAUACAUUGACAUUCUCUGAAGAUUCUUCUUUUAUCAUAUACAUACAAAGUUCACCUUUUUUCUCAUAUAUUUAUCUAUCUUUUCUCCCCCGAUCCAGGAAGGAUCCGAAUAUUCAAAGACAUAUCAUUAUCUAUCCUUGUCAGAAGAAUUAUACAAGAAUAUCACCCUUUUCUGGUGACCUCCAUCUAUUUAUUUACUUAAACUAGUAUACUUUUCCACGCUUCGUGCGGUCAUACAAUUUUUUCUUAAAAUUAUGAAAAUCAUUGAUUCAAUGGAAGAAAAAAAAAUUGGCGUAGAUAAGUAAAUCGACAUUAAGCCUUACAUUAUAAUAUUUUUUUCUAUCAACGAAAUAAAAAUUUACAAUAUUAAUGCACAAAAAGUAGAACCAAAAUGCUAAUAACAAUAAAAAUUGUAUAUUUAUUAAAAAGUAAGAAAGAAGUAUGGAGAAAAAAAAAACAAAAGGGGAAUAAAAACAUAACCACGGGUUUUGUAAGCCUCGAGCGUCCCUCCGGGAACAUCAACUUAAUACAAAUGUAAAGAAAAUUAAAAUCCCAAAAAUUUCAAUCCUAAAGCACAAAGUACUGAAAUUAAGAAAAUAAUAAAAAUUGCUUGCUAAUUAACAAAACAAAAAGGAAAAAAUAAAGACAUACCAUAAACAUAGUCAUACUCUUACUAAUGACUAAAGCAAUGAUUUUAAAGCCCGUAAUGUUUCUUCAAAAUUCUUACGAUUUUAAACACGUAAGGGCAUUGAAUAAAACGUCAAAGAGAAAUUUCCCAUGAGUGCAUGGCUGAAAAGGAAAAAGAAAAAAAAAAUACGAUAUGGUUGUUAGAGUAGCCGUAAAACAAAAUUAUAGAAAGUCAAAAUCCCAAAAAAUUAACAGCCUCGUAUGCACAAAGUAACGAAUGAAAAGUAAAAUUUUAUUACAUAUUAGCCAAAUAGGCUCAAAAAAUGAGAUGUUAAUAUAUCUAAUUACUAAUAAGCAAUUACACGUGAAGGGAAGAUGUUUGAAACGUACAAUAAGGUUUAAGAAGGUGAUUUUUGGAGUUUUUUUAAUCGAAAUGUUUAAAGAGUAUAAUAAAAGUGGCAAUCAAAGAGAAUCCAUUAUUGAGCUAAUUUACUUAAAUAAAAAUAACACCAUUUGUUUUAACAUACUCUCCGCUACAAAUAUCAUAGAAAAAUUAAUUUGACAUCUUAAAUAAUGUGCUCAACCAUAUGAUAUAACAUUGCAUUAGAUGGAAGCAAUUAUUUGGUUGGUUUUAGACUUUUAGUCUACAUGCCUAUGUGCCAAUUAAUAAUUCCUAGUAUCGUUUUAUAAUGUGCUGUGUGCACAUACAAGUGAGUCAAUCUCAAGGGAAACAAUCAAUAAUAUAAUAUUAGACAUUGGAACCAAAGAAGAUACUCUCUUCAACCAUCUCUUAACUUGUAAUCAUGUAAUCUAAGACAUACUUUAUUAUAAUUAUGCUACUUCAAGAAAAAUAGUUGCUCUAUUACUACCACUUUCAAAUCCACAACUUACCAUGUACUGAGAAAAAGUAAUCAUUCAAAAGAAUAGAAAGAGAAAAUAAAUUCAAGUAGCGAGCCUAGAAGCAAAGGGUCCGAAAAAAAAAGAAAGAGAAAUAUUUCUAACAAAAAAAUUCAAACACGAUAUAAUUUGUAGGUAGUGACAUCUUCAGUUUAUCAUCAUAUUUAUUUUCUCAAGUUUUAUAUUUUAAUUAAAGUUGUCUUCAAACAACUCUUGUGCAAAAUAAACUUAUAAUCUAAAAGUUUAAUAUGCUUUUAUAAACACGUAUUUUCACUAUUGAACAAUAUACUAUCAGUAUGAAUAAUCUCAUUUAACAUCUUAAUUACCCACCACACAAAAGAGUACUAUAAGAAUUGGAAAUAUCAUAAUCUGAACUAAAAUUUUGUUUAUAAAGAAAUCAUUGUCCAUACCAUUAUGCUAUUAUUUUUUAUGCUAGGACAUAAACAUCGAGCACACCAUGUCUCAUGGUUGUAUUCUUCCAAAUUCCCUCACGCUGAAACCUUGUAAAAUAUGGAAGUACAAAUAGGUGUGAGAAUGAGUGACUUAAUGAUACCAAUUAAUGUUAGCGCAGCAAGUGCGAAAGGGUUAACGGGCGAAAGUGGAAAAGGUGUAAUUUAGAGGACUAAAAAUGUGUCUUUUGGAAUAGGUGUGAGUACGGGGAUUAAUAAGGUGCCUUUUGGAAUUUUUAGUAGAACACAAUAAAUUAUAAAAUGAAAGAAAAGGCAAAAAUUUGAGAAAAAAGAAAAAUAGCAUUCCUUGCUUGAUUGAUAGAUAUGCCACAUCACCUUCUUCCUUUCCUCAAUNNNNNNNNNNNNNNNNNNNNAUAUUCUUGAAUCAUUUACUAUAUCAUUAUUGUCGUCAUUUAUUUCCACUCAAUAGCACACGUGGGAUCUUACUACAAAAAUAUUUGGUCUAUCUUUUGGAUAUUAAUGUUGGCUAAUUAAGAUUAACCCAACUUUAUUAUAAAAUUUGAUUGUAUAAACCAAGAUCUAAAUUUUGGGUCAUAUAGCUUGGCACCGUCUGUGGGGAGCUUCUCAACCAAUUUUUUAGUUUCCAUCAGAUCCAUAACUCACGUGACUUGUUAAUCUAACAACCACAAAGUUUAUCUUUUUUCUCUGUGCGUACAAAAAUUUCCAUGAUAGGUAACCAAGGAAACGGAACGAAGGCAACAAAUAAUAUUCCCCUCAACCUCAUGAGUGCCAUCAACGAAGGCUAUGACACCCGAGAUGAGGAAGUGACACCCAUGGCCUCUCCCAGACGAGAGAGGUCGCCUGCACCUUUCUGCAGCACGACAAAACCAAAUAGGAAUGGGGCCUCCACGUCCACGGGAGACAGGGCGCCACCCGCUAUGAAAAAGCUCCUCAAAUCAUGGCUAACUGAUACUCUAGUCAGUAUGAUCGGUAAACAAGCCCCAUGCACGAUCGUAAAAAUCACGAGAAUCCAUGCAACACAACGCAGGAACGAACAGGACGACCAACCAAACCCUCUGACUUCAGGUAAAACUCACACUAUUACUAACAGUGCAGGUGACAGUGUCCUCGUCGCCGUGCUGAAAAGAAUGAAAGAAAUGAAAAACGAGAAUAGAGCGCUCAAGGACCAAAUGAAAGAGCAUCAGGAACGGGUAGAAAAAAUACUAGGUGCCCCCAAAUUAUUACCAAAAAGAGACGUCGGUGGGUUUGUGGAACAGCCGUAUAGGGAAAAAGCGUCUCCACAUGCCAUACCAAAGACCUUCAAGAUUUCCCCAUAUCUCAGAAUUUAUGACGGAACGACCGAUCCUGAAGAUCAUGUAACCCACUACGUCACCGCCGUAAAAGGCAACGACCUCACCAAAGAGCAGUCAUCCUCCAUCUUACAGAAAAUGUUUGGUGAGAAUCUCACUGGAUGGGCACUGAUGUGGAUUCACAGCUGCCAGUUUAUUCCAUAAAACAUUCGAAGAGCCGGCAAGUUCGAGGGUGAAUGAUAUCUUCGCCAUAAACAAGAAAGUUGAAACAAGGGUGAAUGAUAUCUUUGCCAUCAAACAAUCCCCAUGAGAGGGAUUGGGGGACUUCCUCGCCCGAUUGAACAGGGUGAGGAUGACCUUACCAAACGUCUCCGAAGGGAUGGUUAUGGCAGCUUUUCAGAAUGGGUUAAGCAGAGAGGGUUCAAGGGCGACUAGAAAGUUACUGAGUCGAUUAAUGAAGUACCCCACCGGCCACCUGGGAUGAAAUCCAUAAUGCUUACUGUGCUAAGGUCAGAGCAGACGACGAUGACCACAAUGGACCAACUCGACGACCCACCUCGGUACAAUCCGAGCCCAGGAAAGAAUGCAGGGACAACAUAAAGAGAGAUCAUUCAGUAUCGCGGCCAAGCAAGUAACGACACCAACCAUAUGCCAGAACGCCUGUUCCCCCCAUUUGUUAUGAAGACAACCUAUCUAGGCCGAUAUUAGGCGCUCACCGGAAUGAUCGAGGUAUGCCCCCUACUAUCUUCUCACAACUUUUGUGUAUCACCUACAGAGGUGGUCUAAAUUUUUGAGAAGCUCGGAACAAAGGUAAAAUGGCCACCAAAGAUGAGAUCCGACCCAAGCACAGGAAAUCUGACUCCCUCUGUGAGUUCCACCAAGAACGUGAACACAAAAUAUAAGAUUUCAUCGAUGUAAGACUAGAAGUAGAAAACAUGUUGCAUCAAGGGUAUCUUAAAGAACUACUCAGUGACCAAGGAACGAACACUUUAGCAAGGGGUCGAGAACGUCCAGGCCCACCAAAGCCGCCUUCGCCAGCUCGUACCAUCGACAUGAUUAUUGGUGAAAGUGACGACACCUCUAUCAAUGGCAUCAAAUUCACCGCCACCCACAAGCUUAAAAGAUCGAUCACCCAUGAACGGUAUGAUGAACUCGAAGAAAGUAUCAUCUUCGAUAAGUCAGAUGCCGACGAUUUGACUUUCCUUCAUAAUGAUGCACUUGUCAUUACUUUACGAAUUUUAGAUACUGAUGUUAAGAGAAUUAUGGUAGAGCAGAAAUGGGGUGUGCAUCAUCCAUCCCUGAGUCCUUGCAUAGAUGAGACUCGGGGAUAAGAUAGUGUCGCGUUGCAUUACACUAACCAAUUUUAAUAAUGCAGUUGAACGAACUUUGGGAGAUAUUACAUUUCUCGCCCUUGCCAGUGGGGUGACUUUAGAGACGACAUUAUAUAUUAUGGACCAGGACACCGCAUACAACGCAAUCGUGGGAAGACCAUGGAUAUACCCUAUGAGAGUCGUCCCCUCCAACUUAUUCCAAGUGAUCAAAUUCCCAAAGCCCUGGGGAAUAUUCAGCAUACAAAGCGAAUAAUGUACGUCCCGGGAAUGCUAUCGAAUUACCAUGGACGACACGAAAACUCAACAAAGGAAAGAAAAGGAAAAAUAAGCAUAGCAAUAAGUAGGGUCGAGGUCGCCGCAAGUCAAAGCCAAAGAAGUCAUUAUAGACUCAGAGAUGGUCAAAGCCGCAAGAUCAACCAUAGAAGACCUCGACCCCAUCCAGCUAGAUCAUAGCGACCUCAGCAAAAAGGCCUAUAUCGGUUGCAAACUCCGAGACCUAGGUAAAUAUAGUCAAUUCUUAGUUAACUAACGCGGAUUUAUUUGCCUUUAGUCAUGCAGAUAUGCCAGGUAUCGCCAAGGAAAUUACCACGCACAUGCUGAAUGUCGACCCCUUCUACCCCCAGUAAGACAGGUCUGACGAAAGUUCAGCCCCACAAUCAAUGAGGCCGUCCAUGUAGAAGUAGAAAAGUUAUUGACAAAUGACUAUAUCAGGGAAUCGAAGUACCCUAAAUGGAUUGCCAAUGUGGUGAUGGUUACGAAGAAAAACGAAAAAUGAAGGAUGUGUGCGGACUUCUCAAACUUGAACAAAGCAUGCUCAAAGGAUUCAUUCCCGUUGCCACACAUCGACCAACUCAUUGACGCAACGGCAUGACACGAGUUGUUAAUUUUUCUGGACGCCUACCCACGUUACAACCAAAUACUCAUGGAGGAAGAAUACCAAGAGAAGACUACGUUCAUCACCCGCAUGGGAACGUAUUGUUAUAGAGUCAUGCCAUUCGGGUUAAAGAAUGCAGGGGAUACCUAUCAAAGGUUGGUCACAAAAAUGUUCAAGGAUCAACUCGGCAAAACCAUGGAGGUGUAUAUCGAUGACCUGUUGGUCAAGUCCGUGAAAGAAGAGGAUUAUAUCGACCACCUAAAGGAAGCCUUUGAUAUACUAAGAAAGUACGGAAUAAAACUAAACCCUGAGAAAUGCGCAUUUGGCGUAGCCUCAGGGAAAUUUUUGGGCUUCUUGGUAUCACAGCGAGGGAUUGAGGUCAACCCAGAUCAAAUUAAGGCUAUCGAUGAGAUACCAGAACAAUUAACCACUAAGAAACAAGUCAAGAUACUGAUAGUCGAAUUGUCGCCCUGUCCAGAUUCAUUUCGUGCUUUUCUGAUAGGUGUCACAAGUUUUUCAGCAUACUCAAAAAAGAUAACGGCCUCGAGUGGACGCCUAAGUGCGUACAAACGUUACAAGAACUUAAGGAGCACCUAUCGUCACCACCCUUGCCCUUAAAGCCCGAGCCCGGGGAGCGCCUCCUUAUUUACCUCGCUUUCUCGGAAGUAGCGGUAAGUGCAGUCUUGGUUCAAGAAAAUAAAAGUACACAAUCUCCUAUUUAUUAUAUUAGUAAAACACUUGUCGAUACCGAGACGAGGUACCCUCACCUCGAGAAACUAGCACUUGCCCUGGUCGUAGCUUCACGAAAGCUUAGGCCAUACUUUCAGUGCCACCCAAUCUCGGUCAUCACCACUUUCCUUUUGAGAAGAAUAUUUCACAAACCUGAGCUGUCGGGGAGGUUGGCUAAGUGGGCCAUUGAAUUAAGUGAGCACGACAUCACUUAUCAGCCUCGCACAACAAUAAAGUCGCAAGUGCUCGUCGACUUCAUCGCAGUCUUUAGCGCAAAAGUAAUGCCUGAGGCUGAAAAAGAAGUCGCUCAAGCUUCUCUUCAAACAUAGGACCUUUGGGUAUUAUACACCGAUGGUGCAUCUAAUUCUUUCGAGUGCAGACUGGGACUCUUGCUCAAGGUUCCCACCGAUAAAAUAAUUUGCCAAUCCAUAAGGUGCCCAGAUAUGACUAACAAUGAGGCCGAGUAUGAGUCCGUAAUUGCAGGGUUGAGACUAGUACUCAAGUAUAGGGAGAAGAAAUUUUCGUAUCAAAAAGCAGAGGUUGCAGAAGUAUCAAACCGAGAUAUGCAGAUAGCUGCCCAAUUUCGACGAAUGCAAGCUUGACCAAAUCCCACGAACUUAGAACAUCGAAGCAGACAGCCUCGCCAAAUUGGUCGUCGCUACUAGAAGCAUAACACCCGGGGACAAGAGUAUAUUUCAUCUCCUCUGCUCGGCAUUAGACCACAUCGAGGUAAGAUCUGUAAAUUUAAUUUGGGACUGAAGCAAUUGUAUUAUUAACUAUUUGCAGGACGAUGCCCUCCCAAGCGACAAAAAGGAAGCUAAAAAGCUAAGAAUGCAAGUCGCUAGAUACAGCCUCCUUCACAACGAUUUGUAUAAAAGAACGUACGGCGGCCCCUUGGCAAAAUGCUUAGGUCCAAACCAAACCCAACGCGUUCUUGGGGAAGUCCAUGAAGGUCAUUGUGACGCUCAUUCUGGUGACCGAGCACUUGUCAGGUGCCUCAUACGGGCGGGGUAUUAUUGGCCAACCAUGAAGAAAGAUGCCUAAGAAUUUUUGAAGAAAUGCGAGCAGAGUCAAAGAUACGCCCCAAUAAUCCACCAAACAGGCGAUGUCACGACCCCAAUUUUCCUCCAUAGGAUGUCGUGACGGCACUUAGUCUCUACGCCUAGGUAAGCCUAGCAAAUAUAAAUAACUUGUCAGAAACAAUUAUCGAAACUAAAACAAAGUUGAAUAAAUAAUAUAAUUUUCGAUAAAAAAACAUAAUCUCAACAACACACUCCCCAAAAUCGGUGGAAUGGAGUCAUAAGCUCGACAGAGUAUAACUAGAGUAAUUACUACAUCACUGUCCGAAAGAAAAUACAACAGUAAAUGAGAAUAAGGAAAGGUGACUCCGAGACCUGUGAAUGCCGAGCAGACAUACCUUGAAGUCUCCGAUAAAGGCAACUAGCAGGUAAUCUCUAACGACCGACAUGAGCAGACGUAGCUGGAUCUGCACAAAAAUGUGCAGAACCGUAGAAUGAGUACACCACAAUGGUACCUAGUAAGUAUCAAGCCUAGCCUCAGUAGAGUAGUGACGAGACCAGGUCAAGACACCUACUAGAAUAUAAAUAAGCAGUAUGGAAAUGUAAUAAGUAUAAAUAAUGGAAAGCAAGAAAUACCUGAUACGAAAUAAGAUAAUAACCUGAACAAAUAUCGGAAACUAAACAUGGGAAUACAUAAAAGAAGUAUCUAAAGAAAACCCAAAUGAUCAUACAUAGACAGAAACUGCAAGAAUAAAUAAGAAUGAAACAACAAGGAAUGUUCCCACCAAAACUCUUUGCAACAUGAAAUAAAUAGCAAGAAUCACAACGAGGUACCACCUCGUGUAUAAUGAAAUCAUAACCGAGGUACCGCCUCGUAUAAUUAGGAAUCACAAUCGAGAUACCACCUCGUAUUCAAAUUUCUCAAUUUCUAUCACAAUCUUUCCGUAUACCGCGGAGUGAGCCUUACAUUUGAAAUAGGUUUUGAAAACAAUUUUCCCAAAAUAUCUACAAGAACUUUAGCCCGCGCGCCAUAGUACCCUGGCGCAGCUGCUCAAACUCCACGCGCCAUGCAUCACGAAGGGUCUGAGGAACAAACUCCCUCAAGAAUAACUCUAAAAACCGAGUCUAAGUGAGUAAAGCUACCUCGGUUGGGCAACUCUCCUCAUACACUCGCCACCACUGAUAUGCCGCUUCGGGCAGCUAGAAGGUAGUAAAAGCAACGCCACUCAUCUCCACAAUACCUAUAGUGCGGAGAACACGGUGGCACUCCUUAAGAAGUCCAUGUGCAUCCUCUAAAGCUAAACCACUGAAAGUAGGAGGGUGAUACUUCUUGAACCUCUCGAGCCUAAGCUCCUCCUCCUCAGAUGUUGCUGCCCUAACCACAGGCUGAACCUGAGUAACAGGCUGUACCAGUAUAACCUCAGGGACCUGAUCAACUUGGACCCACUACUAUGGGGUACGGGUCGCGAGAGUUUGUGCUCAUCCCCCAGCCUGAGAUGUGACUGGCGCAAUUGGAAUCAACUCGCCUGAGCUAAGGUACCGAACAUGUUCAAGAACUGUGCGAGGGUCUUCUGAAGUGUUAGGGUGGUAACAGGCACUUCGGGUGCCUGUCCCCCCGACUGGAGCUACUGAUGGCUCCUCUGUCGUAGCUCGGGCAGGUGCUCUGGUUGUACCACGUGCCCCUCCUUGGACUUUGCCCUGGCCCCGACCUCUCGUGGUUCUAGCAGGGGCGCGACUGUCUACUCAUCAGAUCCAACAGUGCGUGUCCUCACCAUCUAUGAAAGAAUAUAAAGUCAAAGAUUCAGUUUUUGAAGUCAACCAAAUCGUACGAUAAGGAAUCAAAGAAGUGAUGUUUUCCUAAUAGUUCUGUAGCCUCUCGAAGAUAAGUACAGACGUCUCCGUACUGAUACGCAAGACUCUACUAAACUUGCUUAUGACUCGUAACACCUAUGAACCUAGGGCUCUGAUACCAACUUGUCACGACCCUAAUUUCCCUCCGUAGGAUAUCGUGGCGACACCUAGUCUCUACGACUAGGUAAGCCUAGCAAAUAAUAAUAACUUGGCAUAAACAAUUAUCAAAAUACUAAAACAAAGCUGAAUAACUGAUAUAACUUUCCGAUAAAAAACAUAAUCUCAACAACACACUCCCCAAAAUCGGUGGAACAGAGUCAUAAGCUCGACAGAGUAUAACUAGAGUAAUUACUACAUCACUGUCCGAAAGAAAAUACAACAGUAAAUGAGAAUAAGGAUAGGUGACUCUGAGACCUGCGAAUGCCGCGCAUGCAUACCUUGAAGUCUCCAAUAAAGGCAACUAGCAGGUAAUCUCUAACGACCGGCAUGAGCAAACGUAGCUGGAUCUGCACAAAUAUGUGCAGAACUGUAGAAUGAGUACACCACAAUGGUACCUAGUAAGUAUCAAGCCUAGCCUCAGUAGAGUAGUGACGAGGCCAGGUCAAGACACCUACUAGGAUAUAAAUAAGCAGUAUGGAAAUGUAAUAAGGAGAAAUAAUGGAAAGCAAGAAAUAACUGAUACGAAAUAAGAAAAUAACCUGAACAAAUACCGAAAACUAAACAUGGGACUACAUAAAAGAAGCAUCUGAAGAAAACUCAAAUGAUCAUAUACGGACAAAAAUUGCUAGAACAAAUAAGAAUGAAACAACAAAGAAUGUUCUCACUAAAACUCUUUGCAACAUGAAAUAAAUAGCAAGAAUCACAAUGAGGUGCCGCCUCGUGUAUAAUAAAAUCACAACAGAGGUACCGCCUCGUAUAAUUAGGAAUCACAACCGAGGUACCGCCUCGUAUAAUUAGGAAUCACAACCGAGGUACCGCCUCAUAUUCAAAUUUCUCAAUUUCUAUCACAAUCUUUCUUUAUACCGCCGCGUGAGCCUUACAUUUGAAAUAGGUUUUGAAAAUAAUUUUUUCUAAAUAGCUACAAGCACUUUAGCCUGUCUUAUGACGUCGUGUGGAUUCACGUAGUUCCCAUACAAGCAACACGUAUAUAACUCCCACUUUAUACUGUCGCAUGCACAUCAACCCCAAGCCUUAUACCGCCGCAUACGCGUCAAUAUCACGUUACAAUAACAACUCCUACUACAAGUAACCAUUAAUCACAAUUUGCCAACAAUCCACAAUAUCAAUGUUUCCACAAUAAUAGCCCACAACUCCACCACAAUGGGUACAAGAAUAUCAACAACAACAAUGAAUGUAAAAUGCUCAAAAGGAAGAUAUUUCAACAAUAACAAUCUUGCCUCAACAUGAUAACGUCUUUUACCACUUCAACACCAAUAACUCAACAAUGAGAGACAAUGCAUAACCACGAUGUUAAAUAAGAAUAACUCACAAUGGAAGAGAUAACGUGUGAUCACGCCCAACUAUGCCUUAUAAAAAGGACUUAGCGGUUGUUGAAAAUAUAUUCCGGUUAACAAGUCCGGAUUCGAAUCCCACAGGGUAUUAACCUAUUAAACACAUCUACUAGACUCACACCAAUUCACGCAAUCAAUCUUCAGAAACAUUUAAGUAGCAAAUUUGAUGUUUACUAACUAAAUAUCACGUAAUGAAAAUGCAAUAAUUAAUAACUAACUACGAACGAGUUGUAGACAACAAUUGGGAUGAUCUAAGGUUAUGAUUUCCCCUAUUGUCGGAAUCCUUUCCGUUACAUUUUCUAUAAAUUUGCCUAAGUCUUCUCUACCGAUCAUGAAUGCUCUGAGUGUUAUAAUUUUCUCCCGAGUAACUACCACAAUUUACUAGACAUAUUCUCCCGAAUUACGCUAACUGGCAUUAAGUACGGCUCACUCGGAUCGCACCAAGGUUUCGUUAUCCUUAAUCUCACCUUUAAACCCUUCGUAUUGAUCCCUCAUAUACGUUAGGAGUAAUGUUGUUCAAUAAUUACCUAAAUAUGCACUCUCUUUCGAGUAAUACAUACUAACUAGACACAGUCGAUUGAGGGCCCUUCAAUCAACAAUAAUAAUAAUAUAGUUAAACAAAUAGAGAAAAUACUACGGAAAAUCUAUAUUAACGUAACAUGAAAAUCAUCUUCCAAUAGGUUCCAUCAAAACCCUAGAUUAGGAGUUUAGCUACCCAUACUCAUAAUAACAAUAUCCCAGAUGUUUUGCAUAAUUAAAUUACCAAGUAAAGAUGAAAGGAUGUAGAAAUCAAUGAUUCUAACUCCCAACGGCUGUGUCACGAGCUAUCCUUGCCUCUGAUUGCAAAAACUUCUUCAAAAGUGGCAUUUUAUGUCUAUUUAUAUGUGUAGGAAAAGACCUAAACGACAUAGGCCAAGUCCUAGUCAAACCAGGAGACGAAAUAAGCCUUCAAAGUUCGGAGUAUGCGUGCCUCAGACCUCGCCUCGCGAGGCUUCACGCGAGCAGUACCUCGCGCCAGACCUGGCGUCGCUAGCCUUAACGCGAGGUGGACCUCGCCUACCCUGCUCCCACACGAGCUAUUAAGCUUGCUUCUCUAGCUUUCUCAUUUAUCCGCUGCUCACUUCUUUCUUUCUUCUUUUCAACUAUUUUCGAGCACGCUUUAGACUUUAAUUAUUCCUUUUGCUCUACUUUCAUCUCCAAUUCACCUACAUAUAAAACAGACUCCAUUACGCACAAAUAAAAUGUAGUUUAUCAUUAAAGCAUACAAAAUGCAAGGCAAAUAAUAUACUAAAAUAUAGAAUUAUAGCCACACAUCAAUACCCCAUACUUAAACAUUGCUCGUCCUCGAGAAAUCAAACUACACUUAUAGACACAACCUUUUUAAGCAAUUCCCUUAACUCAUCACACCAAGAAUCUUUAAAAUAGUCUAAGCACAAAGGUGUAACAUCCUUACCUCAAGAUUUGACUCAUAAAUACCAUGCCUUAUUCACAAUUAACUUACUUACUCUAACAUGGAGGUCAAUGACAUUUACUUUCCUUUUUGACUCACGUGCCCUCACCCAACAAAGAGCUUAGUUCCACACAUAAUGAAUUUUAAGAACGUAGGAACUCAAUAUAGGAAAAAUUCAUCCGCUCUCAGAAAUAACAUUCAUAUGCCACAAAUGAUGCACCAUAGGCUUGCCCGUAGUGUAAGACUCUACUAAUCGAGCUCAUUCAGUCUAGGAUCAAGUAGGACUUUAAUUGGUUGUAUUGUAGGCUGCGGGUCGGGUAGGAUACAAUUGGAUAUGAGUGAAUACACCUCCCUUAAUCACUUUAAUACAUAUACUUUAAUACUACAUCCCAUACUUAUGUUAAACCAGAAUUCCACCUGCACUUUAAUUUAUUUUAGCCCAUACUUCUUUAAGCACAAGUAUAUCACUAGCCACCACCAGCAAGAAUUAUUUUUCAUACAAUACAGCUAUAUAUUUUUUUUCUUUCUUUUUCUUUCAAUCCAAGUGACUUUUAUUGACAUAUUUAUUUUUCUUUCAAACGGUGCACCUUUCUCCUUAUUUCAUUUGUUCCACUCAAACGCCAAAUCACCACCCCCGCACUUUAACUUUUACAUAAUUCAUCCCAAUUCAAGUGCUCAUGAGAGGUGACAAGGUUUAAAUAUAUGGUCGAUUCAAACAAAGGGGUACGAUAUGUAAUGUGGUUACCAAAGAAACAGGGUUAUAGGCUCAAAGGAGUUAACUACGUUAUAUGACAUUCAAGCGGGUAAACUCUAUAUAUCUGGCUCAACAAAGAAACGCAUAUAUCACUUCCCAGACUGAACAAGACUACCAUUUUGCUUUGCACACGCGCGGGGCAAGUUCUAGACAUCAAAUAAAAUGCACUGACUAAAUACAAACCUCACACAGACAUGGCACAUAACUUACUCAGGAUUGGUUUUAUCACGACACUCCAGUCAGGGCAAUCAAGCAAAUUUAAGAAUAUACGAUUUAAUGUACUUAUACUAGAGUAAAAAACUAAGCCUAAGCGUCACAAUCAGAGUAAUAACUGUUCUCAAGGCAUAACAAAGUUAAGAGAUAUCGCUGCAAUUCAAUUCAUAACCAGUGAUUUCUACUCCUAAAAAUUAAAACUAACUACACCCGGUUCAAAUAAAACUCUUGGAAAAGAACCGCGGCUCAAAGAAAAACCAAGGGGGAAUUACUACACUACCUACAAGAAAAUCUCUUUUUUUAGACUUAAUUCCCUCAAGAAAACUGUCUAAGAGAUCCAUCGUUGGGAAGAGUCCAAUUUUUAGAGAAAACGCUAAGACGACCUAACUAAAUUUUUUUUAACUAAAACAAGACUAAUAUUUACAAGAUACCACCCCACACUUAUUUCUCAUGCAAUGUCCUCAAUACAUACACAAAAUGACAAAACAAGAAAAAAAUGAGUAGGGUGUAGGAAAACUCCCUGAUCAAGCCAUGUCAUCGCCAUCCUCCUCUAAGGAUGCCCACUCCUCCUCUUGUGCUUCCUCCUUCUCCUCCUCCUCAUCAUCAUCGUCAUCUGACUGCUCCAGCUCGGCCUCAGACUGCUCAGAUCUGUUGACAUCCUCAUCAUCUGGGAGUCUGUAUCCAUCACCAAGCCCAACCAGCUACUGAGCAUGAGCAUUGAGCGGGAACCCUUGGUCCAAUAUGGCCCUCUCCUCUAUAGUGGUCGACCGUCCCCCGAUCCGAAGUUGCAGGUCCAUCAUCUAAUAUAAGUGGGCCAUAAAACUGUCAUCGCGAGCAUUGCGCUCGGCACCUGUCAGUGAUGGCAUCGUAGUCUCCUCCUUCACCCGGAUACUGGUAAUGUCUAUUAGUCUUAGAGGCUAAUCAAUGAUGUGAUGGAACACUGGCUCCUCCUCAACCUCUUCGUCUCUCAAGAACUGAGUUAACAUAUUUGCAAAUGGCAUUCGAUCGAUCCUCUUACUAGUUCUUACUACAGACAUCUGGUAGCGGAUCAAAUGACCCACAUUCACCAUCUGACCCGUCAUGAAGAAAUAUAGCACACAUGUCCUCUCACGGCUAUUAAUCAGUUUCAGCCAUACUUGAGCCUCUGCCCUCAUCUUCUUCUUGGGAAUUUCCUGUGUCGAUUUGUUUUCUUAUCCUGAACCCAAGCUGCCAUUGAAUUGACACCACAAAGAGUGUGUCUCAGCCCUCGAUAUGUAGGACGAGCGAUGAAGUAGUCCAAUGUCUACUGAGGCACAUCCGGAGCACCUAAGAAAUUACAUAUUGUCAUGGCUGAAAAAUUUAUCAACCGUCCACUAAUCGACACCAGUUGUUCAGGAUCCUUUGGAUCAAACCCGGCAUAGAAUUCCCGAACCAGAUUAAGAUUUAUAUCCCAUGUAUUUUUGAACACAUAACUCAACCCCAACUCCUUGAUGCCUCUCCAAAUCGCUUGGUACUUGGCUUGCAGGCGACGCUUAUGAAUAGCAGUUUCUGGUGGUACAUGUUUUGGCCUGCAACGCAUGUACCAAUCCUUAGUGUGUGGGGGUAUGCUUUUGAGUCCAAACUCCUGUUGUCCUUGAGAUCGUGUACGAGUGGUUGCGAUAGCUGCCACUGCUUGCAGUCCUUCACUUAGACUAGAAGUAGCUUCCCUUUCUUUUCUCUUCUUCGAGGGAGGUACGGAGGUAGCCUUAGCUUUAGAUGGAGCAGUGGAUGUGGCUUUGCCUCUACUGGUAUCUUUUCUUGGAGGCAUAUUCGCACCUACACAAGUGAGCAUGAAUCAGUUUAAGCUACAUUGCAACAUGUCACAACAUGAUCUUGCACCCCACACUCAAGAGUUUAACACAUGAUUAUCAAUAAUUUUCGAGGUUACUCAGACUUCACCUCAUUGUUUCUUUGUAUGAGAAUCAAGCAAUGGCACAUGGGUGCUUCCUCCAAUUUCGAAGCAUCAGGCUACCAGUGAGCCACCCCACACUUAAGAUUUUAAAGUGGUGCAUGACUACAUAGCACUAGUAUGAUAAUCCCAGAGACUCGGGCUCUAAUGGGGACAAAGAAUGCCUUUGAGGCAUUAUAACAAACACUUAGCAAGCACUAGUGCCACGAGAGUGCUUGUAGGGGUGAGGGAUUGCCUCACCCUCCCUAAUCGGCUUGGGAGUUCCGUACUACCACUUGUUCACACAAUAGCAACAACAUUUCUAUGGGGUUCAUGUGGUUGGGACCCACAAACACAUGGUUACAAUGAAGAACAACCCCAAAUAUUUGUGUCCAAUGUCAUGCAUUCACCCAACUCGAAAUUGCCAAAGAGUGGAGAUAGAAACCAUACCUUAGAUGAUUAAGAGAAGGGAUUUGCCUUUGAAUUGUUGUUGCUAGUGAAGGAAAUAGCAGAAGAUUGCUUGUCUUCAAUGGAGUUGUGAGGGGGAGGUUUUGGCAGUGUUCUGCGUGAGUGUGUGUUUUGUGAGCAGUGGGGUUUGUGUGGGAGGAGAAGAGGAAAAUUGGGAUGUGCAGUGUGUUUUCUUUUAGGCGUGGGUCUUUUAAGUUGGAUUUUUAAGAGGGGGAAUUAAAGGAAAACAAAACAAAAAGAAAAUCAAAGCAAAAAUAACUAACCUGGCGACGCGAGCUCUCAGGCGAGUGACAUACCUGGCGAGGCGAACUCAUAGGCAUACGACGCGAGGGAUUCUGCGAGAUGUGUCUCGCUAUAACCCAUGCGAGGCGAGCUCCUUAGCAAGCUCAAUACCUAGCACCGCAUGGCUUAAUGCCUGGCCCAGCUUGCUGGAGACCAGGCAACACGAGAUACUACAUACGACUUUCCGAAAUCACCUGCAAACAUGUUAGUUCCUAAAAAUGAAAAGAAAAAUUCUAACUACACUAAAAAUCAACUAUGAAUUGGGUUGCCUCCCAACGAGCGCCUUAGUUAACAUCACGGCAUGACGAAUACAACUUUAUAAUGGGUUACCUCCCAUGAAGUGCCUGAUUUAACAUCCCCGCAAGGCGCAGGUAAUCGCACUUAAGGCUCGCUCAACAUUGGUGGCUCGAGCAAAUGAGUCACCGACACUACUUUCGCGUCAUCCAUGUCCAAAUAAUAUUUUAACCUAUGCCCAUUAACUCUGAACGUGCGAGAGUCAUUUUAUGCACCAAUCUCUACGGCUCCGGUAGGUGAAUCUCUACCACACGAAAUGGUCCCUGACCAUCUUGACUUCAAUUUGCCCGGAAACAACCUCAAUCUCGAAUUGAAUAAUAAUACCAUGUCUCCCGGCUUAAAAUUUCGCUCAAGAAUAUUUUUGUCGUGCACCAGUUUCAUUCUUUCCUUGUAUAACCUUGUACUCUCAAAAGCAUGGUACCGAAACUCGUCAAGUUCAUGCUACUCUGUGACUCUACUAGUUCCACCGGCCUCCACAUCCAGAUUUAAUUAUCGCAAUUCCCAGGAGGCUUUAUGCUCUAACUCCACCGGCAAGUGACAUGCCUUUCCAAACACCAAUUUAUACGGCGACAUUCCAAUCGGAGUUUUGAAUGCAGUGCGGUAAGCCCAUAACGUAUCAUCCAAUUUUCUUGCCCAAUCAGUCCGACUAGCAUUUACAGUUUUGUUCAAAACACUCUUGAUUUCUCUGUUUGACACCUCGACUUGCCCACUUGUUUGUAGGUGAUAUGGAGUGGAAACUUUGUGGAGAACGCUAUAUUUCUCCAAUAGCUUUUCAAAGGCUCGGUUGUAGAAGUGGGUACCCCCAUCACUGAUGAUAGAUUUUGGAGUGCCAAAUCGGGUGAAGAUGUUCUUUCUCAGGAAACCAAUAACUGCCUUCGCAUCAUUUGUAGUAAGUGCGACGGCUUCUACCCAUUUUGAGACAUAGUCCACCGCUACAAGUAUAUACUUGUUAUUGUAGAUAACAAAUGGUCCCAUAAAUUCGAUUCCCCACACAUCAAACACUUUUACCUCUUGGAUCGGUUUCAUGGACAUCUCAUGUCGAUAGGAAAUAUUCCCCGUUCGUUGGCACUCAUCAUAAUUUUUCACCCAGAAGUGUGCAUCUUUAAACAUCGUCGGCCAAUAAAAACCUGACUCCAACACUUUAGACGUUGUCCUUACACCCCCAAAAUGUCCUCCAUACGGUGAAGCAUGACAUGCCUGCAAAAUAGAAGAUUGAUCUAUCUCGAGAAUACAUCUCCGGAUCAUGUUAUCAAGACAAAUCCUAAACAGAUAUGGUUCAUCCCAGAAAUACAUGUGACAAUCACGAAAAAACUUUUUCUUUUGCACAGAAGACAAGUCAUAAGGAACAAUACUGCUUGCCAGGUAAUUUGCAAUAUUUGCAUACCAUGGUGUAGCAUCGAGGCUCGUCGCUAAGAGUUGUUCAUCCGGGAAAGUCUCCACAAUCUCUUCCACCUCAACCUUCUUUUCGUCUCCUUCCAGCCUAGACAAGUGAUCAACCACUUGGUUCUCCGUUCCCUUUCGGUCACGAAUUUCCAAGUCAAAUUUUUGCAGCAGUAGCACCCAUCGAAUCAGGCGCGACUUUGACUCCUUCUUCUCAAUUCGGUACCUGAGAGCAGCAUGGUUAGUAUAAACAAUUACUUUCGAGCCAAUCAGGUAUGACUUGAAUUUGUCAAAUGCGAACACCACUUCUAGCAUCUCCUUCUCGGUCACUGUGUAAUUUAGUUGGGAACCACUCAAAGUUCUACUUGCGUAGUAUAUUGGAUGCAUGACUUUAUCUUUUCGCUGCCCAAGAACUGCUCCCACAUCAUAGUCUCUCGCAUCACACAUCGGCUCAAAUGGUUGCCCCCAGUCGGGUGCAACUAUGAUAGGUGCUGUUACUGGCCUCUUCUUCAAUUGCUCAAAAGCUACCCUGCAGUCAUCAGAAAACAGAAAAGGGGGAUCUUUUCCAAGCAAUUUACACAAGGGGUUAGCAAUUUUGGAGAAGUCUUUUAUAAACUGUCUAUAGAAACCGGCGUGGCCAAGAAAACUUCUUAUUGCUUUGACAGAAGUGGGUGGUGGAAACUUUUAUAUCACAUCAACCUUUGCACGAUCCACCUCAAUGCCCUUACUCGACACUAGGUGCCCCAAGACUAUACCUUCCUAUACCAUGAAAUGGCACUUUUCCCAGUUGAGCACCAAAUUAGUCUCCACACAUCUUUUCAGUACUCUUUUCAAAUUCUUUAGGCAAUCAUCGAAUGAGUCUCCUACCACUGAUAAAUCAUCCAUAAAUACCUCCAUUAUAUCCUCUACCAUAUCUGUGAAGAUGGCCAUCAUGCACCUUUGAAAUGUGACAGGUGUAUUGCAUAGGCCGAACGACAUUCUCUGGAAAGCGUAGACGCCAUAUAGACAGGUGAAUGCCAUUUUUUCUCUAUCUUCCGGAGCAAUGAAGAUCUGAUUAUACCCCGAGUAUCCAUCUCGAAAGCAAAAGUGGGACCUCCCGGCCAGUCUAUCUAGCAUUUAAUCAAUGAACAGCAAGGGAAAGUGGUCUUUUCGGGUGGCCUUGUUUAAUCUUCUGUAGUCCAUACAAAUUCGUCAUCCCGUGACUGUUCUUGUUGAUAUCAACUCAUUGUUAUCGUUUUGCACUACAGUCAUCCCACCUUUCUUUGGCACACAUUGGACUGGGCUGAUCCAGUUGCUAUCGGAGAUGGAAAAAAUGAUCCCCGCAUCUAACCACUUUAUCACCUCCUUUUUCACAACUUCCUUCAUGUUGGGGUUCGGCCUUCUUUGAUGUUCUCUGGAAGGUUUGUGGCCAUCUUCCAGUAGAAUAUUAUGCAUACAGAAGGCCGGGUUGAUACCCUUAAUGUCUGCAAUGGUCCAACUAAUUGCAGUUUUGCACUCAAUCAAUACCUGCAAAAGCUAAUCUUUCUGCACAUCUAACAAACUCGAUGAGAUAAUAACAGGUAAAGUUAAGUUAGGUCCCAAGAAAGCAUACAUGAGAUGGGGUGGUAGUGGUUUUAGUUCCAACUUUGGUGGCUCUUCUCUCGAUGGCUUAGCUAGAGGAGUUUUCCUUUCUUCUAAGUGCAAAGGCUCAAAUUCGAGCUCUCUUUUCCAAAACCCUUGGCCUUCAAGAGCCAGUACCCACUCCACCAAGAUCUCUCCAUUUGCUUCAUCUAAGUUCAUGAGACAGGUUGCUAGAGGGUCUUUAGCGUCCAAGGUCUCAUCUUCCUCCUACAAAAUUACAUCCACACUCUCUAUUAGAGAGCAGUUAGCAAAUUCACUUGGUCACCGCAUAGAUUUCUGCAUAUUGAAUGUUAUCUCUUCAUCAUUUAGUCUCAUUUUUAGCUCUCCAGUUUCACAAUCAAUUAAAUCUCUCCCAGUGGCCAAGAAUGGUCUUCCCAAAAUUAUGGGAAUCUCCUCGUCAACCCGGCAGUCCAGAAUGACAAAAUCUGUUGGGAACACAAACUUCCCAACCUGUAUUAAUAUAUCAUCAAGGAUACCUGAUGGCCUCUUCAGUGUCCGGUCGGCUAGCUGUAGUAGCAUGGAUGUGGGUCUUGCUCUUCCAAUGCCUAAACUUUUAUAGAUAGACAAGGGCAUCAAGUUUAUGCUUGCCCCCAAAUAGCACAAUGCUUUAGCAAAAGCAUAGCUGCCUAUCGUGCAUGGGAUUGUGAAACUCCCUGGGUCUAACAACUUCUCAGCUAUGGGUCUCGUCACGACUGCGCUAUAGGUCUGGGUCAAUGUAACAAUGGACAGGUCUUGGAAGUUGAAUUUGCGAGACAUUGAAUCUUUCAUCAUUUUGGCAUACCCAUGCAUCUCCCACAAAGCGUCAAUCAGUGGAAUGUUCACUUGGAUUUGUUUCAAUAUCUCCAUAAAUUUCUUAUACUGCCCAUCCUUCUGAUAUUUGGCCAAUCUCUGUGGGAAUGGUUCUGCAGGUCGCAUCCGUCCUGUGAUUUGAGUUUUAUCUUGCUCAGGAACUGCUUCUACUGUUGUUUCUUGUGCUACCUCAGUCUCAUUCGCAACCUCUUUUUCUUUGCUUGUGCUCUCUUGUGCAUAUUGUACCGUCACCUCAGUUAACCCUGUUGAAUUAUCUAUCUCAAUUGGUACUGGCACAAGUGUUUCCGUAGGUCGGCUUUCGCGAGCAAUUUCUUGCUCCAGAUCUAGGUCUCUACCAUUUCUUAGACUCACUGCCAUAAGCAGUUUUGGGCCCUGCUCUUUUGGAUUGACUUGUGUAUUUGCAGGUAACAUCCCUUGGGGACGAUUAUUUAGAGCCAUCAAAGUCUGUCCUAAUUGAAUCUCAAUGCCCUUUUAUCGUUGAUUCAUGUGAGUCCACUCUCUCUUGCAUUUUUCCAUUAGACCCAAUCAGUUGUCGCAGCUUUCCUUUAAGUUUAACAAACCCAUCAUCUUGUCUCACUAUCUGUUGUUGUUGAGGCUGUGAUACGCUAGCUGCUGAUUUUGCUGGUUGUAACCCUGUUGCCGUUGGUAAGGCACAACUUGACCCUGUGGUCGCAUAGCUCCAAGAUUGUUGCUGUUAUUGUACUGUUGUUGUGCUGGCCUAUAUUGUUGAUUCUGCUGCCCCCAAUUCUGACCACCUUGCCUCUGUCCCCCAUAGUUGGCCACAUAGUUCAUAUCUUCCUGAUAGUGCUGGUUGUCACCUUCCGCACUCCACGAACAUACAUAUGGUUGGUUAAUGCAUGGUAUACAUAAGCCCCCGUUAGUUGUGUCAACUAUGUGUACCUGCUGCUUCUGGACUGAUUCAUCGAUCUUUUUUGGUGAUGAUACUCAUCUGCGUCAUUAGAGUGGCCAUAUUUUCAGCUAUGGAGUUGUUUGGGUCCAAAGCCACUGAAUGCACUAUAGGAGUGAUCUUAGAGUCUCUUGUCAUCCAUCCUGAGUUUUGGCCCAUUUUUUCAAGUAGGAUCUUGCAUUCUCUGAAUGUUUUGCUAAAAAAUGCUCCAUCUGUUGAAGCAUCAACAUUGGCCUUUAAGCCGUCUUCCAGUCCCAUGUAAACCCUCUGCCCCAACAUCUGAUCUGGAAUGCCAUUAUGUGAACAUUUAACCAGCAUACCCUUGAACCUCUCCCACAUUUCUUGUAGUGUUUCUGUUGGUCUCUGCCUGAAGCUCAAUAUAUCAUCAAUUUAUUUGGCAGUCUUAUUGGGUGGGUAGAACUUGUUCAAAAAUUGCUUGACUAAUUCCUCCCAAGUAGUGAUGGAGCUUAUGGGGAGUGAAUUAAGCCAAGUCUGAGCUUCUUCUGUCACCAAGAAUGGAAACAAUAACAGCUUUAUUGCUUCCGGUGUCACAUUAGGUUUCCUUUGUAUGAUACAUAUCGACAGGAAAUUCUUCAGAUGCUACUGAGGAUCUUCAAUGUAUGACCCUGAGAACAGUCCCUUGUUCUGCAACAAAUGUAGCAUGUUAUUUGUGAUUUGAAAUGACUCUGCUUGUAUAUGAGGGACUGCAAUUGCAGUUGCCAGAUAUUCAGCGGUGGGUUGUGCCUAGUCAUACAAUGCUUCUUCUGGCACAAGAGGCACCACACCCUGAUUGUUCAGGUCAUUCUCAGUGUUUCUGUUGUUUGGAUUUUCUACUCCGUCAUCCAUGUCUUGUUCGAUUUGUUCUGUUAAGUUUUGUUCUUGUUUGCCAUUCUUGUUUGCAUGAUUCAAUGCCUUGAAAACUUUCUCAGGAUCUGAUUAUGCUUCGAAUAAUUCACCAGUUCUUGAGGAGUUUCUAGGCAUGCACAUGUAGCACCCAAGACUACAAACGUUAGAAUUUCAAUGUAUUUGGUUUAAAAUGAAGAAAAUUGACUACACUAAGAAUUCUAGCAAUUCUUUUAGCUGCAAUUAAUAACACCGUUAGCUCCCCGACAACGGCGCCAAAAUUUGAUCACGCCCAACUAUGCCUUGUAAAAAGGACUUAGCGGUCGUUGCAAAUAUAUUCCGGUUAAUAAGUCCGGAGUCGAAUCCCACAGGGAAUUAACCUAUUAACCACAUCUACUAGACCCGCACCAAUUCACACAAUCAAUCUUCAGAAAUAUUUAAGUAACAAAUUUGAUGUUUACUAACUAAAUAUCACGUAAUGAAAAUGCAAUAAUUAAUAACUAACUAAGAACGGGUUGUAGACAAGAAUUGGGAUGAUCUAAGGUUAUGAUUUCCCCUACUGUCGGAAUCCUUUCCGAUACAUUUUCUAUGAAUUUUCCUAAGUUUUCUCUAACGAUCAUGAAUGCUCUGAGUGUUGUAAUUCUCUCCCUAGUAACAACCAUAAUUUACUAGAUAUAUUCUCCCGAAUUACGCUAGCUGGCCUUAAGUAUGGCUCACUCAGAUCGCACCAAGGUUUCGUUAUCCCUAAUCCCACCUUUAAACCAUUCGUAUUGAUCCCUCAUAUACAUUAGGAGUGAUGUUGUUCAAAAAUUACCUAAAUAUGCACUCUCUCCCUAGUAAUACAUACUAAAUAGGCACAGUCGAUUGAGGGCCCUUCAAUCAACAACAAUAAUAAUAUAGUUGAACAAAUAAAGAAAAUACAACGGCAAAUCUAUAUUAACGUAACAGGAAAAUCAUCCUCCAAUAGGUUUCAUCAAAACCCUAGAUUAGGAAUUUAGCUACUCAUACUCAUAGUAACAAUAUCCCAAAUGUUUUGCAUAAUUAAAUUACAAAGUGAAGAUGAAAGGAUGUAGAAAGCAAUGAUUCUAACUCCCAAUGACUGUGUCACGAGCUAUCCUUGCCUCUGGUUGUAAAAACUUCUUCAAAAGUGGUGUUUUAUGUCUAUUUAUAUGUGUAGGAAAAGAGCUAAGCGACAUAGGCCAAGUCCUAGUCAAACCAAGAGACGAAAUAAGCCUUCAAAGUUCGGAGUGUGCGCGCCUCAGACCUCGCCUCGCAAGGCUUCACGCGAGCAGGACCUCGCGCCAGACCUGGCGUCGCCAGCCUUAACGCGAGGUGGACCUCGCCUCCUGCCUCGCCUAGCAUGCUCCCACGCGAGUUAUUAAGCUUGCUUCGCCAACUUUCUCAUUUAUCCGCUGCUCACUUCUUUCUUUCUUCUUUUCAACUGUUUUCGAGCACGCUUUAGACUUUAAUUAUUCCUUUUGCUUUACUUUCAUCUCCAAUUUACCUACAUAUAAAAUAGACUUCAUUACGCGCAAAUAAAGUGUAGUUUAUCAUUAAAGCAUACAAAAUACAAGGCAAAUAAUGUACUAAAAUAUAGAAUUAUAGCCACACAUCAACGUGCAGCAAUAACUUCAAAUAGUGGGAGUCAACAAUGAAAAAGAUAACAUGACCAAUAACUUCAAGUAAUGGUAAUCAACAAUGAAAGAGGCAGCAUGAACAAUAACUUCAGUUAAUGAUAAUUAACAAUGAAGAGAUAUCAUAUAAUAAUNNNNNNNNNNNNUAGAACAAGUAUUAACGAAAUCAUUUAAGGCAUGUAAAGAUAGACUAACACAAGUAAGAAUAGAUUGACUAAGAGAAUUAGAACAUGAUACGACAUUUAACUAAAGCAUAAAAAUAGUCUAAGUAGCCUAAGCCGGUCAAAUACCACGUACAACCCGUGUACCCACUCGUCACCUUGCGUACACGGAUUUCAUUUAGUAAAAUUGAAUCAAACCAUACCAAUCCUAAGGAAUAGUUCCCCCACACGAAGUUAGGCAAGACACUUAUCUCAACUAGGCCAAUUCAACACUCGAAAAUAUCUUUUCCAUUAAAACCCGCCUCCACACGGCUCAAAUCUAACCAAAAUCAAUCUAAUAUCAUCAAAACAAUGCUAGGGAAUUUAAUUGCAAUAGAUAAAGCUAAAGUCUUUACACUUUUCCCAAAAAGUCAACAAAAGUCAACUCGGGACUUGCACGGUCAAACCUCGGGUCCAAUGGUAGAUUCCGUCUACCCAUGGCCCCACGAGUUAAUAUAUGUUAUUAGUUUCAAAAUCCGAGUCCAAAUCGACUCUCAAAUCUCAAUUUCUUAUUUUUCAAAAACUUCACAAAGUUUCACUAAUUUUCACUUUGAUUCACAUGAUUUUGAUGUUACAAUAUUAGAUAUGUUGAUUGAAUAUGAUUAGAAAUGGAUUAGAACCACUUACUCAAGGUUUGUAGGUGAAAAUCCCCUCUCCAAAUCGCCUCCUACCGAGUCUAUGGUUCAAAAAUGAGAGAAUGGGUUCAAAAAUCCCGUCUCUCAGCCCUUUAACCAGAUGCAGAUGUCGCAUUUGCGACACAGGAUUCAUAUUUGUGAACACUCGCAAUUGCGGACCAGGACUCGCAUUUGCGAACACUGACAACCUUAGUCAACAUCGCAAUUGCGAUGAUAGCUUCACAAUUGCGAACUGGUGGGCAUCGCAAAAGCGAACAAUUGUUCGCAAAUGCAAACCUAGGUGAAGUUUGACAGUCUUGACAAUUGCGACAUUAGAUCCCCCAUUGUCGCCUUCGCAAUUGCGAUGUUGGUGCUCUCAAUUGCGAUACCUGAGCACCAGCAACACUAACAGUCCAAUUUCAGUCCAAAACCAUUCUGAAACAUGUCCGGAACUCAUCCGAGCACUCGGGGCUCCAAACCAAACAUCCACACAAGUCUAAAAAUACCAUACAAACUCGCUUGCACGAUCAAAACACAAAAAUAAUAUCUAAAACUAUGAAUUGAACUAAAAAACGCAUGAAAUACAAGGAAAUUUUCACGAACUUCUAGAAUUAAAACUAAACGUCUGAAUCCUAUCAAAUUAACUCCAAAUGACACCAAAUUUUGCUGACAAGUUAUAAAUACCAUAACGGACCUAUUCCAAGUUCCAAAAUCAAAUUCUGAGCUAGAUAGCUAAAAGUCAACCUACAGUCAAACUUUUCAACUUCAAAUUUUCAAAUUUCAGCCAAUCAACACAAAUUAACCUAUGGACUUCCAAAAUCAAUUCUGAGCAUACACUCAGUUCCAGGGUCAUUUUCACAAAAGUCAAAGUUUGGUAAACAUUUUCUAAUUUGAACUUCUAAGUCAAGGAUCAAGGGUCCAAAUUAAUCCAAAAGCUUCCCGGAAUAAAACGAACCAACCCCGCAAGUCAUAAAAUCAUAAAAACACAUGCGUGAUGCAAUAAAUAGGGUAAUAGGGCACAAUUAAACAAAACGACCGAUCGGGUCAUUACAGGCGAACACCUCUACUUUGCCACCUCUCCAAGUUCAUUUAUUAAAUGGGGAAUGGACAUCAUGGGACUACUUCCGCAAGGACGAGGUAACAUAAAAUUCCUUUUAGUUUUAACUGACUAAUUCUCUAAGUGGGUAGAAGCAGGGGCAUUCUCCCAAGUUCGUGAGCAAGAGGUAAUCGCCUUCAUAUGAAAAAAUAUCAUAUGUAGAUUUGGCCUACCUAAAGAGAUAAGUUGUGACAACGGUCCCAGUUCACGGGGAGGAAAACCAUCAAGUUCUUCGAGAAGUGUCACAUUAAAAGGAUACUUUCAACUCCUUACCACCCGACAGGCAACGGACAGGCAGAAGCCUCCAACAAAUCUAUCUUAAGCAUCAUGAAGAAGAAGCUCGAAGAGGCCAAGGGACUAUGGCCUAAAAUACUCCCAGAAGUAUUAUGGGCGCAUAGAAAAACCCCGAAGACAAGCAUAGGGGAGACGCCUUAUUCUCUAGUCUACAGAACGGAAGCAGUUAUACCAGUCAAAUUCGGAGAACUCAGCCUGAGGUACUCCCAUGAAAGCGACACUGACAAUGAUGAGAAUACGAGACAAGACCUCGAUGAGGUCGAAGAGCGAUGAGACAUGGCAUAAAUAAGGAUGGUCACACAGAAACAACAAGCAGAAUGCUACUACAACAAAAAGGCAAAGGUUCGAUUGCUCAAGAUCGAGGACUACGUGCUCAAAGCCAAGAUCCAAGAAAACAGGGAGCCACGAGAAGGCAAGUUGGAAACCAACUGGGACGGACCACACAAAAUCAUAGGCAAAGUAGACAAGCGUUCGUUCCAAUUGGAAACUAUGGAAGGGAAGCUCUAUCAAACAAUUGGAAUAUCAACCAUCUCAAGUACUUUAACAUUUGAAAAACAAAAAUGCCCUAUAAGUCGUACUCUUUUUUCCCUCACUUGAGUUUUUUACCAAUAGGGCUUUUUUAAGGAGGUUUUUAAUGAGGCGACGAGAAGGACACUUCGAGUUGGCAUACACGAGAGCAGAUAUAUUUUUCAUUGCCCGACUCCUCAAGAGUUUCCAAGUCGAAUAAUGAAGGGACUAGAUAUACUGAGACUGGGACUGGAAUGCCAGCCAACUCCCAAAACUUAUAAUUUUCUCCAAAAGUUGCCUAAGGGUGAAAUGAUGUAAUUGAAACAACUAUGUUGAAAUAAUAAAAAUGCAUGCCUGAUCUAAACUGCUCUCCAAAACGGUACGUUCGAUCAACUUGAACAACACUUAUCAGCCCACGGCCACAACCUAGUAAAAGGUAAGUUCGACUAGUUCGAACAACUCCUAUUGGCCCACGGCCACGACUUAAUCAAAUGUACGUUCGACGAGUUCGAACAACACCUAUUGGGCUUGGCCAUAACUUAAUCAAAGGUACAUUCGACCACUUCGAACAACACCGAUCGGCCCUCGGCCAGGACUUAAUCAAAGGUACGCUUGACCAGUUCGAACAACACCUAUCGGCCCUUGGUCAUGACUCAAUCAAAGGUACAUUCGACCAAUUCGAACAAUACCUAUCGGCCCUCGGCCACAAUUCGAUGAAAGAAAAAUUUCUACCUAACUCAACGAUAUGUUCAUCCCAUUCGAACAACACAUAUCGGACCUCGGCCUAAACUCGAGUAGAAGGUAAUAAUGAAGAAAAUACAGGAACAUAACACAAGUACAAAAACAAUGCACAAAGACAAAAAGGUAUAAAACUAAAACAAAUUAUUGUAUUUCAUAAGAAGAUUUUACAAAGUCGUUCAAAGACGCCAACAAAAGAUACAAUACAAAAGUUGAGCAAAAAAUGUUAACACUCAAGGUAGUCACCACCCCGAUCUCCACCAUCCUCUCCUUAUCCGCCUCGACCAUAAGUGGAGUCCUACUAAGCAUUAUCUGCAAGAUGGUCCAUACCCCCUUCAUCAUCUUCCUCGAAAUCGGGUUGAGGCGUGGCAGGAUCAUAAUCAUAGUCAAGUCGGGCCUCGCGAGCUUUAACUCGAGCCUCCUCGAGGGCUGUCUCAGAGAUAGAGCCGGUCUUGUUCAAUUCACGGAUCACGUCCAAUCGGGCUUCAGCGUGGAUCCAGUUCUCGUACCUAUCUCGGGAAAUGUCAGGAAACUUAGAGGCGUGAGACACAGAGGGCCACUCGAGCAAUCGGGCAUUUUUGGCCUCAAGAACUGCAACUCGCUCUAGAAGCUUGGAGUUCUCCUUACCAACUCUCCAAUCCUCUCCUCGAGCCUGGUUUCCUUAGCCAUGGCCGCCCAAAGAAUGUUAUUUUGUCCAGAAUAGAGAGUUCUAUUCGCCAAUUCCAAAAUAUCAGCCCCCCUACGAGCCUCCGUUCGGGAGGACUCCACCUCCUCAAGCAUUCACUUCUUCUCAGCAACUUCCCUCCUAAGAGAGUUGAUCUGGAGUUGGUAUCCAUCCAACUGACUUUACAGUUGAACUACUUGACUUUGGAGGUCACUACACUGGGCCUCCACUCCUUUGCUCAUUUUAAGAUCCUCUUCCUUCCUCCUCAACGCCCCCUCGAGAAUGUUGAACCUCUCUACGGCCACCAUCAACUCCUCAUCUUUCUUCUUCAACUCCUCCCUCAAGGCCGGUAUGCCGCCCUCCCCGCAAAGCCAUCUUUGAGCGUCCUGGUACUUCCUGCAGAACUCCUGGUAUUUACCCUUCAGCUCUGUUAAAUCUCUUUCCAUUUCAUCUCCCUCCAUAUGCUUUCAAUUUCUAGAAUGAUAGUAUGCAAAUCAAAGGGGAAAAAAAUUCAAAGCUUAGAAGAGAGUCAAAAUAAAAGAAAAAGAACAAGGGACGACUACACUUACCCUGAGACGAGGCCGACAAUGCUCUUCGAUAGGGUGUCAUCGUCAGUUCUUUGAGGGUCACUUGUUCGGCUUCGGAGCAAAGAGGACCAAGAGCGUUGACCACGUCCUUGGUAAUUUUCAGCAGAUCACGAUCCAUGAGAAUCGUGAUAGUUCUUUAAUCCCCCUCCAUCCUUACCUUGAUCUGAGUAUUCCCCUCGUCGAUCAUCUUAAUCCUCGGGGUCCAUGUCAAAAUCCGAUUCAUCGCUCUCUUCGACGGCACCCUUGCCUUUGUCCCCAUCAGCAGGGGAAGCAUCCCUUGCCUACCUAGAAGAAGAGGCUUCCUCUUGCCCUAAAGGCGCAGAGCUAUCACCGAAUGCCCCCUUCGCAACCUUCUCAUCCUC
rnacentral:lncRNA from 1 species